CCUAAGCUUACCAUACACUGAAUGUCUCUCUCUUGAUUGAAGCACAUUCUCGCCGGUCGCCGGUUCCCGGUUCAUUUUCUUCUUCACUUCUAAGCUUGUCGUUGAUGGAUCUGAGCCUUGUUUUCUGUUUUUGAAUUUUUUUUGGCUGCGUGUUUGCCCGAUGAUGCACAUCACAAACGUGUUGAGCGGUUGCGAAUGGUCGUUUGAGUUCUCGGGAGCCUUCACUCAUCACCACAUUCGCCCCCUCCACCACCACCACCUCCACCUCCUUCGCUAUCUCUUCUCCACACACACACACACACACACACACACACAGAGAAGCGUUGUAGUGGUCUGUGAAGGCUUUUGAUGGACGCCAUUUGCUCUAAAACCGUAGAUGAUUAGUUUAAAGCUAUGAGAUCUGAGGGCUUUUAUCUAAAUAUUCCAUUUUUAAGAGAAACCAAAUUAUGCAUUCUGCCUGAUCAGUUUUUUUGAGAGAAAACCCUUGUCUGCACUUUGCCUGAAACAGUGAAUAUGUUUGACAUGGGUCAUAUUGGCUUUGCAUGUGUGCUUUUUUGUGUCUUUGGGUCUGAUGGAGUUAAGAUAUUUGCUUCUGCACAUUGAAUAGAUAUUUUCUCUUUUCUUGUAUUGAUUGACACGGAUUUUCCAUUAGUUAAAUAGUGGGUGUUUCGUAUUUGUGUUGAAUUAUUUUGAAUGAUGAUAAAUGCACUGGGCUCUGUUUUAUUGAUGGAAAUGCAAGCCUAGAAAGCUUUAUCUAACGCCCUUCUCUUUAUUUUGAUUCAGUUGCUAUUUUGAUUGAGAGUUUUAGAAGAAUUGGUGAUGCAUCUACUUGUGGAAUACAAUGUCCAGGAAUUUGUACUAGUAAACUUAAUAAACAAAAUUUAUACAAUUAAAUUCUAAUUGAAUAUUUUCAGUAAUGAAUUUUUAUGCACAAAAUUUUCCUGCUAACCUGACUUUCUGCCCAAUGAUGACAAUGAAAAUUUACUGAAAUGGUUGCCAGUGUGUUCACUGGGAGCUGUUUUUGCCAUCUUUACCUUACUAUCAGCACUACUAUAUUCUCUUUCACUUAUUUACUCUCUCUCUCUCUCUCUCUCUCUCUCUCUCUCUCUCUCUCUCUCUNNNNNNNNNNNNNNNNNNNNNNNNNNNNNNNNNNNNNNNNNNNNNNNNNNNNNNNNNNNNNNNNNNNNNNNNNNNNNNNNNNNNNNNNNNNNNNNNNNNNNNNNNNNNNNNNNNNNNNNNNNNNNNNNNNNNNNNNNNNNNNNNNNNNNNNNNNNNNNNNNNNNNNNNNNNNNNNNNNNNNNNNNNNNNNNNNNNNNNNNNNNNNNNNNNNNNNNNNNNNNNNNNNNNNNNNNNNNNNNNNNNNNNNNNNNNNNNNNNNNNNNNNNNNNNNNNNNNNNNNNNNNNNNNNNNNNNNNNNNNNNNNNNNNNNNNNNNNNNNNNNNNNNNNNNNNNNNNNNNNNNNNNNNNNNNNNNNNNNNNNNNNNNNNNNNNNNNNNNNNNNNNNNNNNNNNNNNNNNNNNNNNNNNNNNNNNNNNNNNNNNNNNNNNNNNNNNNNNNNNNNNNNNNNNNNNNNNNNNNNNNNNNNNNNNNNNNNNNNNNNNNNNNNNNNNNNNNNNNNNNNNNNNNNNNNNNNNNNNNNNNNNNNNNNNNNNNNNNNNNNNNNNNNNNNNNNNNNNNNNNNNNNNNNNNNNNNNNNNNNNNNNNNNNNNNNNNNNNNNNNNNNNNNNNNNNNNNNNNNNNNNNNNNNNNNNNNNNNNNNNNNNNNNNNNNNNNNNNNNNNNNNNNNNNNNNNNNNNNNNNNNNNNNNNNNNNNNNNNNNNNNNNNNNNNNNNNNNNNNNNNNNNNNNNNNNNNNNNNNNUAUAUAUAUAUAUCUAAGGAUUGAUGUUGUGGGAACACUCUCAGUGUAAGCCACUCAGGUUCGUCCUUGAUGACCUGCAAUAUCUAUGAUAUCUGAGGGCAUUUUUAGAUUUUUUGCAUCAGUAUGGUUCCAGAUUUUAUCUAUUCUUUAUCUCAUCAAAUGGAUAGACCUCAUAAAACAGUUAGGCGCCGUUUGUUUGAUAUUUGGACUGGGGGAAAAUGUUUUCGGUGUAAAAUAUUUUCCAACAAUAUAAUUUAUUUUUUAUUGUUUAAUUUUUGGAAUUUAUUUUUAUUUUUUAAUUUUAAUUUUAAUUUUAAAAAUAAAAUAUAUUAACAAAUUUAAACUUUAAGAUACUAAAGAUGAAGAGAUUUUCUCUAAAAUCGCUUAAUAUUUAAAUUUUUUUGAGUCCAUCAAAUAUCUGAAAAUAUUUUCCAAAAAUAUUUUUUGAAAAACAAACAGAGCCUCAUUAUAUAAUUAAUAAUUAUUAUAUUUGAUCCGUCCACCAUAACUUGCAUUUGAAAAAGUUGAGAGUUUUGCAUUUUUUUAAUUGAUUUAAUUAUUUUUCUCUAACAUAUUUUAUGUAGAUAUUUUUCUUUUGCUGAAUGAAUGGAGCUGAUUCUUGGAGAUGUAGCUUUUUCUUUAGUCAUUUUUACUUGUGUGCUUUAUGCUAUUGAUUUUAACUAAUUAUUCCUGUUUGAAGCCACAGAUUUUGUUUUCUUAGUUGUGCAUGAUAAACAGCUCAAUGAUGAGAACUCAUUAUACAGAGUGGUGACAUUGUUUUUCAGUGUGAGCCUCCUUUAUCUCUUACUGCCCACUUAUCAUUUGGUUGGAUCUAAUUCAGCUUCUCCUUCUUCUUCUUCUUCAUGUCUUAUUAUUAUUAUUAUUAUUAUUGUUAUUGGUGGUGGUGGCGGUGGUGUUGGUGGUGUUACCAUUAUCAUUUGAGAAUCAAGUAGGCUUUAACUGAAAAACAAAGUCUUCACCAACUAUGAAUUGUUAGAGCUAUGAGAUCUGAGAGCUUAACAUCUUACAAUAACACGUUGGUCAAUACUUUAAAUGCAAAUGCCAAUGAAGGUUGUGCCGCACAAAGUCAAUUUACAUGUUUCCCAUCGUUAGCUUNNNNNNNNNNNNNNNNNNNNNNNNNNNNNNNNNNNNNNNNNNNUCCUUUAUUUUCUGUCAAGUUUGUGCUGGCUUUGAUGUUAAAUUGUUUUGCCCUUCAUUGUUUGUUGUCAAUUGCGUAUGUUAGAAAUAAUACCACCAAAGUGUAUUAUGCACAAUAAUGGACAAAUCAACCUAUUUGAGUGGUUGCAUUUUUCUUUCUUCAUUGGUCUCUCACCACUACCUGUAUGUGUUUGUGUGUUUUUGUUGUAAUGCCAGGGUCUAUUUCUGUUGAAUCUAUGAGAGCUCAGGGUCUAUUUCUGAAUUUAGCUCUGGUCCUUGGUGAUUAUUAUUGAAACAUGGGUGGUAUUAUACAGGAUAUUGUGCUAGCAUUCGGGAUGUGAUUUGAAAUCAUGCAAUUGCAUGUUUAGGCUUCAUAUUUUGAAGCACUUGCUGAAGAAUCCAGUUUUUCCAUAUUUCAGUUAAUUUUUUUGUCCUGCAGGUGUCACGUUUUAAUUCACGUUAGAUGUCAAACUUUUGCAUAAUUUUUAAUUAUGAAGGUCUCAUCACUUGGUUCCUAGGUUUUUCAUUGUUGAAGUUCUGUUUUCCAUGACAAUUUCGGUUGAAAUUUAGAAGUUGCAAGAUUUUGAGCUUUUUGAGGUUGGGUUGUGGAGUAUUGAUGUGUUGGAGUUCAUGCCACAACCUUACUCUUAUGAUUGGGGAUUAUGGCUAAUUAACAAUGGUUUACUUUAUGGCUAAUUUGAUUAUUCAAUUUUAAUGUAUUUCCUAAAGCACUUUCAACUUUAAUUGAAAUAUCAUUAAUCUCUCUUUGACUUGCUGUUGUACGUUUCUAGGUUAAUUCAAUUACAAUGUUAUUUCUCUUUUUAUAACUCAAUUUUAUCUUUUCUAACUAACCAUUGUCUAAGUCUGGAAAGAACAAUUAUCCUAUCCAAGGAGACAGGAAAGCCACGCAAAGUAAAAGUAGAGAAAAUAAGCUCUCCCUCAGAAAUCUAGAAAAAAGAAAUGAAUCUUCAUUUUAGAUUGUCAUUUCGUAUAAAAUUCUCUGUAUGAAAUAGCUUAUUCGAAGUACUUAUUUUAUUAUACAAUAUUAUUAUUUUUUAAAUCUAAACUUCCAAUUAAAAUUUUAAAUUUAGAAUUUAAUUAGCUUUAUUUUAAUAAUUAUGUGUAAAAUAUAUCCAAUUAUUAAUUAUAAUACUAUAUUAUUAUUAUUAUUAAAAAUAUUAAUAAUACUCUAUUCAUCCCAUAAAUAUAAAUAUAUUUACUUUUUUUCAUAUAGAUUUAGAAAACAUAGUUUAUGGAAAUAAAUUUAUAUUAUUUUUAAUAUAUAUUAAAAAGGGUUAAAUUCGGUAGUUAACUAAAUAAAUUACUCCAUUUCAAGAAAAAACUAAAUAAAUUACUAUACAAAACAAUUAUUUAUAAUUUGAGACAAAAUAAACCUGAUUUAAUUGUUUUUUAAACUUUUUUCACUUGUUGAGCUAGUCAACUGAGGACUUUAGAGGCGUUGGUCAAAAGCAUGUUGUAAUUUUGUGGGGGGGCAAUGGAAACAGAGUUAUAAGCUCUUGGCUUUUGAAUUUGGUUCAUAUCUUGUCUUAAUUCUCUGUCAAAUUUUGAAUUAAUUGAUUUGGUCUGCUUCACGUCUUUUCGUAUUUCUCUGUCAAAGAUUGAAUUAUUUGAUUUGACUGAUAACACCAACUGAAGUUAUGUUCCUAACAGAAAACAAAAGAAAUCAGCAAUUUAUUCAUAUGGUACCGAUAAAUUUGUUAAUUUAUUUUUUAAUUUUGAAAAAUACUGAGAUUUUAAAAAUAUAUUAAUUAAUUAAUUAAUAAAUUUUUUAAAAUUGAAUAAUCAACAAAAAAUUUUCUAUAUUAAAAAAAUUAAAUAAUAAAUUUUUUUAUUUUAUAUUUAUACUAACUUUUAUAUUAUAAUUCACUAGUAUUUCAAUAAUUUAUCAUUUAUUAUUUAAAUGAAAAUAUACUAUCAGUUUUCUUCCUCAUAUAUUAUUUGUUUCCCGAAAUCCAGCAGCCACCAUAGUUUGUUUUUUGACCAGGAAUUUGAAGUAUCAGAUGUAAGAAUCCAAAAUUUAUAGUGCUGAUUUUGUAAGCUAAUUUGAUUCUAGAUGUAAUGCUUUGAAGGAUUCAUUUCUUUUUCAAGGGUCAGAGCCAUGAAGAAGGAAGGGCUCUUGGAUUGAUUUGAAUGUUCUUAUUACAUUGACCAAGGCAAGUGGCUGCCUAGAAAUAUUUAUGACUUUUAUUAAGCUUUCUCACAAUGGCUGCUGAACUUUUCUUUUCUUUUUUUUGCCCUUUUUUGGGAGUUGUUUCUUCUUUUUCACACUUACUCCAUCUUCUAUUUCCCUUGGAAAAAGAACAAAAAAAGAAUCUGAAAAAUUUUCCAGUUCAUGCCUUGGAUACUAGGAAACUGACCUGGCAUAUGGAGAUCAUCCAGCUGGGAUUUUUUUUUAAUAGAUUUACUUAGCCUUGAUCAAGUCUACUCAGAAUUUCUCUAAUAUAACUUUGAUGUAGUUAUUACCGAACUAAAUCCUGCCAUGUUUGUGGACCUAUGCAUUGUGCAUCCGGAUGAACAUUUCAAAGUGAAGGUCAAGAUCAAGGACUUGGCAAGAAUAGACGGAUGAUGGGUCAGUACUGCAGUUUAUCUCUUGGUAGAGGAGGGUUCAUGGGUUUUGGUUGGUGGUGAUUGGUGGGGGACCAGAAAUUAGGGUCCCAUUGUAGUUGAUGAGAUAGAUGAUUGAGUUGAGUCUAGUGGCUAACUCCUUUGCUGUUUCUUCAAUAAUUAAUAACCCAAACCAACCCAUCUCCUAUUUGCACCUCAUGUUUCAUAACCAAACAAUACCCACCUCCCAAUUUGGAUUCCUUAUUUUAUUGCUCAGCAAAAUUUUGGAUAUAUUUUCACAGUUUUGGGAGCAAAAAGGGUCAAUUUGACAAUGAAAUCUGAAGUUCAAUCACACAAUCAAUUCAAUUCUUUUAUAAUACCCAUAUUUUUUUUAUAUCAAUUUUACUUUUGAACAUAUAUUAAAAGAUAUAAUUUUUUUAAUUAUAUAUAUUUUAAAAUAUUAAAUUUUAUUAAAUACUAAUAAAUAAUUUGAGAUAUUUAUUAAAAAUAAAAUUAAAUUAAAUAGAGUUGUAAUAAAUAAUUUAUUUAUUAUUAUAGCAUAAAAAAUAAAAUAAAUAAUAAUUUUAAAAUAAUAAAAAAAUUAUGAAAUGAAAGAAAUAUUAUAUAUAUAUAUAUAUAUAUAAAUUUGUGGGCAUAAGAGUAAAAAAAACAUCUAAAUCAAAUAAAAAAUGAGAUAAAAGUAGGCUACCAAACAAAUAUACUUAAUAAUUUUAAUGUAAUUAAUUGUAACUGAAUUACAUAUUAAAUUAAUUGGUCAAUUAUAAAAUAAAGUUAUUUAAUUUAAGAGAAUUUCUUUAUAAACAUGUUCAUUAAAUAUGAAAAUUAUAAUAUUCAAUAGUAUAUUUAUUAUAUAAAAAUAUAUAUUAGUUAAGUUUUAAUUAAUAAAUUGAAUCAUAUUAUAAAGAAUAUAAUAUGAAAAAAUUAUUUUUUAAUUUUAAAAAAUAUAUUUAAAUAUUUUUUAUAUUUUUAAAAAUUUAUAAUUAAUCUAUUCAUUAAUUUUAAGUAUUCAGUAUUAAAUAAAAAUUUAUAAUAUUUCAAUAUAAAAAUACUAAUUAAUAAAUUUUUUUUAAAAAAUUCAACAAUAUUUUUAAUAUAUUUUUUAAAAUCAAAACAUUAAUUAUUAAUAAAUUUUUUUAUAAUAUAAAAAUUAAAUAAGAAAUAUUUAACGAUUAAAAUUAAUAAAAAAAAAUUUAUAAUAUAUUUUUUAAAUUAAAAAGAUUAAUUAAAAUUUUUUUUAUGUUAUUAAAAUUAAAUAGUAGUUUUUCCAAUUAUAAAACUUAAGCAUGCGACUGGAACCGGUAGACUAAAAUUCAUAUUGGUCCAUUCAUUGUAGAGGAAUCUAUAUGCCAAAUCAGUGAUAAAAUAAUUUGACAUGACUCAUGCACACAAGCCGACCCUACAGUCUGCAGCCACUGUCCAAUAAUCCAAAUAUAUUAUACAUGCAUUUUAUAUAAAUUUUUUCUUAUCAGAAAAUAUAUCAUGCAAAAAAAAAAUUUAAUGACAAAUUUUAAAUUAAAAUAUAAUUUUUUUUAUUUUAAAUAAAAAAUAAUAAAAAAUUAAUUAAAUUAAAUUUUUUAAAAAAAUUUUGAUUUUAAAAGGAUGGUUUAUGAAAUAUGUAAUACAUGAAUUGAAGCUAAAACAAAACUCUGACAUAAUAUAGCUUUGUUCUAAACGGAUCUCUUUUUGAAUCAAGUAGGUCUAAUUAAUUUGUUCAUAGACUGAAAUUUAAAUUUAAAAUUUUAUAAUUUUAAAGAUUACUCUAAUAUUUAAUGAGUUAAAAUUUAUGUGUAACAUUGAUAUAGAAUAUGUCAAAAAUAAUUGAAAAUUACAUCCAAAUUUAUAUAUUUUCUUGGAAUCAAAUAAUUCACUUUAAAUUUAUGAUUUAAUUGGUGUGAAAUAUGGUAAUUUUCAUACGCUAUUGACAGUGCCGUUACAUCCUAUAUAAGAAAAUUUUGAAAAUUUUAAUACUCGUCAUUAAAACUCGCUCCAUGCUAAAUAGAAUGAAUUUUAAUAUAAAAUUAUUAUUAGUCAAUAUAAUCCCGUAGAUCCUGUUAUACGAAUAGUCAUGAAAAUAUCAACUGAUUAGUUGAUGAGAUAUCUUAUCAAAUAACUAAUUAUAUCAUAUUAUUAUAUUUAAUUUUAUUUUUUACCGUAUAAAAGUUAAUGAUUUUAAAGAUAAAUUUAUAUAAUUUUCUUAUACAAUUACUCUUAAAUUUUAUAUUAGUUUUAUUUUCUAAUUUAUUCAUUUAAGUAUUAGUGUGGCUCAUGUAGUGCUUACCAUCUCAUUUUAUGUUCUCUUUCUUAUAAAUUUAAUUAAUCAUAAUAUAAUUUUAUUUUUCGAUUGUAUCGUGACGUCAUAAAUAAAAUAUAAUUAUUAAUAAAAAAAUAUAAAAUAUCAUAUAAUUUUACUUAUUUUUAUUUAUAUAAUUUAAUUUUUAUUAAAUUAACUGCGUGUGAUAUAAUUUGCCUAUCAAUAUUUUUAAUAAUAUACAAAAUUAAUAUAUUAUUUUAACUUAAAUUAAAUAAUAAAUCUUAAAAGGGAAGUCGAUAAAACCAAAAUACACUUUUCCCAUACUAAGAAUCCAUGUGAGACCUCCUCUGUUUUGUUAAAACUUACAUAGGCCAAGAUGAUCAAGUACUAUUAUUUUAUAUAUGUGUAUAUCCUCAAUGAGAAUAUGCCUCAACAAGAACACCACAUAUCAGAUUUUGUCUGUGAAAAAUUGAGGCUUUUAUUAAAAAAAUAAUUUAAAAAGAAUAAUGGAAUAUUUAUGUUCUUAUUUUUUUUUUCAAGUUUUUUUUUUGUUUUUUAAUGAUAUUAUAUUUUUUUUUAUAAAAAAUUGCUGCUAUUAAGUGUGAACAUUCGGUCGGUUCGGUUUAAAAUCGAACCGAACCGAAUAAACCGAAAAUUGAAAUUUUAGUGUUUAUAAAAACCGGACCGAACCGAUUUUAAUUAGAAACCGAAUCGAACCGAACCGAUCUGAUUCGGUUUGAUUCGGUUCGGUUUGAUCAAUUUUGAUUUUUAAUAUUUUUUUUUAUUUUUUACACUUUCUUUUUAAUAUUUUAAAUUUUAAUUAAAAUAUUUUAACCUUAAUAUGAUUUAAUUUCUCUAUAUUAUUAAAAAAAUAUAUUAUUAUCACUAAUCGGUUCGGUUCGGUUUUUUCGGAUUUUUUUAUCAAAAUCGAAUUGAACCGAAAUAACUGAAAUUUCUAAAAUUAAAAAUCGAACCAAAUCGAAAUAUAUAAAAAAUCGAACUAAAUUUUUAAAUCAAUUCGAUUCGAUCAAUUUUUUCAAUUUGAAUCGAAUACUACCCACUCUACUUGCUAUAAUUAUAGAAGAGAAUAACUACAACGAUAAAUGAGAAUUGUUAAUUUGUAUUUUCUAUCACUUUUUAAAAAUUAUUAUUUAGCAUUCAAGUUGAAGCAGAGGUGGGGUCAUGCUGAUGUGGCAAUGGGGUGUUCAUUAAUUAGAUUAAUGCAUAAUUAAUUGUAUAAAUAAUUAAUUAAAGAUAAACAAGGGAGUUAUGCAUGCACGACGGUGUCCUCAUUUUCUUAUUGUUGGUGAGAGUUCAAGUCUCUCUCUCUCUCUUCAAUUUUCAAGCUUAUCAACUUUAGAAAUCUCAUUAUUUAUAAAAAUAUUUUAUAAAAAUAUUUUCUAAUUAUUUAUGGUCUUAUUAAUUAAUUUUAUUUGAUAUGAUAUGUACAUUUCAAGUACUUUCAUUAUCAAACUUUAGAUGUCGAUUCCAAGGAAAGAAUCUCUAAAAGGGCAAAAGAGAUAUCUCCAGUUUUGCUUAACUUCUUUUUAUAUUUUUUCUAUUAAAGUAUUAUUAUUUAUGAAUUAAAUUUAGAAGGGCAGGAUCAUGAAUUAGAUUAAAUAUUGAAUAAUAAGAAUUGAAAGGGGUGAAAUGAUUAAAUUAAAAAGUUAAGUUAUGCUUGCAUUAGACGCCUCUCAACAACUGCAAGACGUAUUUAACACACCCCCAAAUUUAAGUUAUAUUUUUUUAUUAAUUUAUUACAAAAUGAGAUAAUUAAAAUAUAAAGAAAAAUAAAUUAAUGUAAAAGUAAUUAUAGUAUUUAGUAUAAAUUAAAAUUGAAAAAAUUAAUUAGUAGUUUAUUGUUUUUUUAGUCGAAAGGGUUAAUUUAGACAAAAAGAAAUUAAAAUAAUUAAUUGAACUUUUUAAAUAAAUACACGUGAAAUUGAAUAUAUUAAAAAUAUAUGAGCCUUUGGUUCUCACCUAUCAAUAUAUGAAAAUGAUACUGAAAAAUAUUAAAAUUAAAAAUUAUAUUAAAAAAAGGUGACAGGCCGAUCACAUUCCCCAAAGAAGGGGCAGUUUCGUAAAUCUGAGCAAAAAAUACACGUCACGCUCUAACAAUAUCUAGAAGUAAUGCGAGAAGAGAGUCGAGACAGCGAGCGGCGAGCGAGCGCGAGUAUCCAGAGAGCGAAUCCAACUACUUCUCCGGACCAAGUCCCCCUCUUCACUUUACGCGCCAACGAAGACCCAGCUACACGCCCCACGUGUACACCACCCACUAUAAUAUUUGUAUGACAGUUUCUUCUCCAUUCUCACUCCUCCAGCUCCACGCGUCCCAUUUCUCACAGAUCGGUAACGUUAACAAACCACCUGGCGAAAAGCCCCCACCUCUCUCUGUUCAUGGAUAAGGACAAAUUAUUCCCAUCUAACGGUCAUUACUUCCCUCAUUUUAAGCGAUCCGGCGGCUAAUAUUGAACUGAAACCUUUGACGUGGUAAUACCUGUUCGAAAAAUUUGAAAAUAAUUUCAAUGCGGGAUAACUUCUCUUUUACUAAUAAAAAAUAUAUUUAAUAAAAUAAAAUUUUAUGAAGGUUUUUAAUUAUUUUAUAUUUUUGAGAGAAAAUUUAUUAUUAUUAUUAACAAUUAUUUCAAUAAAUCACUAAAUUGUAGUUUAAAUAUUAAUAUAAAUAGAAUAUAAAAAAGAUGGACAAGUUCAUUAAUAAUAUUUUAAUUUUUCUAAUUAUCUUCUCUUUUAAGACCUUUCUCUUUCCGACCCACCAUAAACGCGGUCCAAAAAUCACCAAUAAAAUGCCCUUCACCUCCCUUUAGGGUUUCGCAGACAUUUCUCGAAUUCUUCUUCUUCUUCUUCUUCUUCUUCUUCAUAAUCAUCGUCACUGCUUCAAACUUUCAUUACGCAUGACUUGGCGGCUUAAUUAGGGUUUCUUCAUCUUCAAUUUGGACUUAAUUGAAUACGCUGUAAUCCGCAUUUUCGUCCGUGAUUAGGUUUUUCUUCUCGUGGGAGAAUGCCUGCCACGGAUUAUCAGGGAUUAUCAGCGUCGAUUAGCCGUUCAAUUUUGAGUCUCCGCCGUGACCAGAUUCAUUCCAUGGAACCGACGCAUGAGGCCUCCGGUCACGACCUGGAACUCGAAGCUUUUCAAAGGCAGGUCGCGGACCGGUUCCUGGAUCUAUCUUCGGUCGGGUCGGAUGAUUUGCUUUCGCUAUCUUGGAUCCGGAAGCUGCUCGAUUCUUUCCUAUGUUGUCAGGAGGAGUUUAGAGUUAUUCUGUUUAAUAACAGAUCACAAGUUUAUAAGGCGCCUUUGGAUCGGUUGAUCAACGACUUCUUUGAGCGGAGUGUGAAGGCUUUGGAUCUUUGUAAUGCGAUUCGAGAUGGGAUUGAACAGAUCAGAGAGUGGAAGAAACUAAUUGAGAUUGUUCUCUGUGCUUUGGACAAUCGUAGAAUUCUUGGGGAAGGGCAGUUCCGUCGUGCCAAAAAGGCGUUGAUUGAUUUGGCCCUUUCAAUGCUUGAUGAGAGGGAAUCUACUGCGGCUCUUGCUCACCGGAACCGCUCCUUUGGCCGCCAAAACGCUGCGUCUUCUAGAGAUCAUCGGAAUUUUGGCCAUUUUAGAUCGUUAUCGUGGAGCGUGUCGCGGUCUUGGUCCGCCGCCAGGCAGCUCCAGGCGAUUGGGAAUAAUUUAGCGGCGCCCAAAGCUAAUGAAAUUGUUGCUACUAAUGGAAUUGCCGUGGCUGUUUAUACCAUGAACUCAAUUUUGCUGUUUGUAAUGUGGGCUCUGGUGGCGGCAAUACCUUGCCAGGACAGGGGGUUGCAAGUGCAUUUCUCGAUUCCUAGACAAUUCUCCUGGGCUGUGCCGAUAUUGUCAUUACAUGAGAGGGUGCUGGAGGAGUCAAGAAAGCGUGAUAGGAGGAAUGCGUGCGGGUUGUUAAGGGAGAUUUAUCAGAUGGACAAGUGUACUAAAGCGUUGGCUGAAAUGGCUGAUUCUGUUCAGUUCCCUUUGACAGAGGAAAAAGAGGCAGAGGUGAGGCUAAGAGUGCAAGAAUUGGGAAAGGUCUGUGAGGUGAUAAAGGAGGCGUUAGACCCAUUGGAAAGACAAGUAAGAGAUGUGUUUCACAGGAUUGUUCAUAGCCGAACUGAAGGGCUUGACUCUUUGGGUAGAGUGAACCACAACGAUUGAUAUCAUUGCUUGUAAGGAUUGGACGGAAUGUUUUUCGGUGCUAAACAAGAGACACACACAGGAUGUUUUGAGGCGUGCUCUCAAAAUAAAAGGGUAAGGAAGCUAAAAUAAUUUUAAAAAAAAGUCGUGUAUUUAUCAACAAAUAUAUUGUGUAAAGGAAAUGUAGGAUAUGGAAAUUCAGACUCAUGUGGUCCAUGUUGCUGAUCUCCAGCUUUUCAUUGCGACUGUAUAAUCAAAUCCCAGUAAAUUUAAUAUUGUUAUUGUAGCUGACUCUGAGUUAUUGAUUUUCGCUUCUUUCCUUUUUGUUUUGUUAAUGGUAUACAUACUUUUGUUUUGUGUAUUGAAAGAGAGGAGAUGGUUAGUAUUCUAUUGUUACAUUUUGGUUUUCAAUGUAAUAGCAAGUGAAUGACAUAGUGUUCCAUGUUUGUUAACGUCUGAAAAAUGUGAUGAUUGAAAGUUGCUAUAACCAGAAACUGGGUUUGCAUUAUUAAAUUUGAUCAGUCGUUUGGUGAGCUUGAAUGUGGUCAGUUCUCUCUCUCUCUCCCCUCCUCCUUCACCUCCUCCCCUCCCCCCCCCUAAAAAAAAGGGGGGAAAAAUUUCAUUGGUCUUACAAAAUCAAAGACUAUGUUUUAUACAAUGUUGUAAUUUUCAACCAUCUCAUUUAUAGGUAAUUGCCUAAACUAGUUAUGCAGCUGCUUCAUGCUGAACUCUUGGAGGAUCACUUAACCGGGUAAUGCUGCGUCCAUAAAGGCCUUGGAAAGUGCAAGGCAUUUGCCUAGGUUCUCGGUGGAUAUUCAUAUCCUAUCUUACCUUAGUUGUUUCACUGGAUGAGGACAGAAUCUUGUUUGUCUCCACUAUUCUCUCUAUACUUAAUUUUCACUGUUCCAAUAGCAUUUUUCCGUUCCUUUUUGCAUGUUAGCAGUAAAGAGAUCAUUUUCAGUCUUUCCUUGAAACUUCAUAAAUUGAUUCUGAUCUCUAAUAAAUUACUGCAGGAAUUGGAAUUUCUGCAUGUGUCAUCUCAAAUCUGGCGCUUACAUAUUACAUUCAAAGCUCUAGCUUUUCCUAUUUAGAGAAGUUCAUUUGACUUUGAUUUGCAGGCGUAUAGGAAUGAAUGUCAUCUCAGGCUCAUCAUAUUUAUUUUUUAUGCAAGUAUUACAAAAAUGGUCGAAAUUCUAUGUAUAAUAUCUUUGAGCUGUAUUGUACAACAUCUCUGUUGACUUUUAUUCAGUCUCUUUUGAUGUCCCUCAAAGUUGCAUUUAGAAUAGAAUUUCUGUAGUUAUUGCAAUCUAGAAUAGAAAUUAUAAUUGGUCAUGGGGCACAUUUUUUGAAUUACUUUUUCAAGCUUCAUUUUCUUGACAAAGACGUAUUACAGUUCAAAUGCCGUUGAAUCUUAUUCUGUUGGGAAAAAGAUCACACCAAUGAAGUUCUCAGGGAUUUCUGCAUGCUUGAUUUUGGGUGAAAUGUAUGCCUGAAGCAACAUUCUUCUGUUUACUUCAGCUUGUAGUGGAAAAAUGACAUAUAUAACUUCAACGAUCUCCAUCAAAUUAUUACUCUCUUGACCGUCUAGAAGCCUAGCCAUAUAUUUUUUUAGUAUUGAAUGGAUUUUUUGCUUUUAUCACCAGGGAGAAUACAUUAUUGUAAUAGUUGGAAUUUUGGACUGAGAUGUCCGUUCAAUAGACUUAUGUUAUAGAUGGUUUCAUUGGAAAGAUUUCAUUGGAAGGAUGUAUUAUAGACGCAAUAAGCCUACAGUAGUAGGGGAUUCACCCACUGAUUAAGCUCUCGAAGGAAAUAGGAAAUGGCAAUUAUCAUGGCAAUCACUUUUAAUUCAGGGGCAAUAACUUUUAAUUCAGGAUUCUACUAUGCUGUCUCGCAAUUACUCUAAUUAUUUUAAUUGCAAUUAGUGGGUAAUUACAUGCUAAUUAUUCUAAUUGCAAUUAGUGGGUAAUUACAUGCUAAUUAUUCUAAUUGCAAUUAGUGGGUAAUUAUAAAGAGAUAAUUUACAUCAAUAAGCAAGUAAUAUUUCAAACACAUAAUCUUAAAAGUAGACUCAAUCUCUUUUAAUAGGUCUCGAGAUUCAAGGGCUCCCUCAGAAGUGCUCUACAUUUUAUUAUAAUUUCUCUUAUAUAAAGUGAUAAUUUACAUCAAUAAAGCAAGCAAUAUUUCAAACACAUGAUCUCAAAAGUCAGACUCUGUCUCUCUUAAUAGGUUUCGAGAUUCAAGGGCUCCAUCAGAAGUGCUCUACAUUUCAACAACUACAGGUUCAUCAAGAAGAAGUCGAAAUAGAAACAAGAGGCUGACUCUUGAAGAAGACUUUGUGGUUCAUCGACCAGUGACACAAUUCUUACUCAAGAACACAACAACUUGGUAUCGGAGCCGGGUGUCAUGGGAGAUCUUAUAAGAAAUGAACUAAAAUCUCUUAUCUAAGAGAUCCAGUCUCAAAAUGAAGCUCAAGUGGCAUUGGUGGAAUCACACUUGGAGACUCAAUUUCAAAAUUUAUCUCGUUAAAUACAGGAAAUUCUGGGCAGCUUUAGUAUCAGCGGAGGCAAAGAACCUGAAAUGGGAAUGAGUAGCAGUAUUCCCUCGAUUCAUAACCAAGAAUUGAGACGCAGGGGAGAUAUACGUCCAUAUGUAGAUGCACGAUCUGUGGGAGGGAUGGUGCCGCGAUAUGUCAAAAUAGACUUCCCCGUAUUUGAUGGGUCAAAAGACCCACUCAGUUGGUUGCAUAUAUGUAAUCAAUUUUUUCUAAACCAACAAACACAUGAGGAUAAGGUGGGGAUUGCAUCAUUUCAUUUGAUAGGCAAGGCUCAAUUAUGGUUCUAUAAAAUGAGUCGGGAGGAACCGAGGAUACCUUGGGCAACCUUCAAAGAAUACUGGAACAUGAGGUUUAGUCCUUCACUCUGAUCUAAUCCAUUGGGUGAAUUAGUUAACUUAAGGUAGACUCGUUCUAUAGAAGAAUACCAAAGGCAAUUUCAGCUUAUCUUUCAAUUACUUUGUACUCACAUUCAGCUUGUCUUUCAAUUACUUUGUGCUCACCAUUAUUUUAAAAAAAAUCUAAAUAUUCAUUUGGUGAGUAACAAGUAGCCUAUUUGGGGCAUAUCAUCAGUGAUACAGGAGUUUCAGCGAAUACUACCAAAAUAAGUGCCAUAACGGACUGGCCUCUUCCUUGGUCCCUAAUGGCCUUGCGCGAAUUUCUUAGCUUGACUAGCUACUACAGAAAAUUUAUUCGGGAUUAUGGACAAAUUGUUGCACCUCUUACAUAGUUAUUAAAAAAGAACUAUUUUAAAUGGACCGAGGACUCCACAGUAGCAUUUGAAAGCUUAAAACAAGCCAUGGUUCAAUCCCCUGUCCUACAACUACCGAAUUUUAACAAGGAAUUUGAGGUUGAGUAUGAUGCCUCCGACGAAGGUAUUGGUACUGUCCUCCAGCAACACAGCCAUCCCAUAGCUUUUUUCAGUCGUUAGUUAAUAGUUCGUCAUCACCAGUUGGCAGCUUAUGAGCGAGAACUGAUUGGAGUCGCCAAGGUAAUUCAACAUUGGCGUCUAUAUCUUUGGGGCAGAUCUUUUGUCAUUCGCAUAGACCAUUUCAGUCUUAAGUAGCCUCACAACUUCUCCCAAUAACAUUGGCUGAAUAAGCUUAUGGGCUUUACCUUUCGGGUUCAGUAUAAAAUGGGGAAGCACAACAAGGCAGCUGAUGCUCUUUCACGUCACCAAGAUGAACCUGAAUUAUUCAUAGUGAUCUCUAGCCAUAUGUCCUUUUAUUUGAUGCAAUCAGAUGUGAAAUUGCUGAAACUGAAUCUCUAUCUCAAUUGUGGCAACAAAUUCUCAAUGGCGAUGCUGAUUUUGACUGGACAAUACAUGAAAGGCUGAUAUUGUACCGAAAUAAGAUUCAUCUCUCCUCCACUUCUCCCUUGAUUGAGACCAUCUUGAACGCUAUUCACAAUAGAACUCAUGAAAGAGUGCAGAAAACCCUCUAUUGAAUUGACAAUGAGUUUUAUUGGGAAGGUAUGAAAUCGGUCAUUACAAAAUUUGUUGCUUCCUGCCCUGUUUGCCAGCAGAAUAAAACUUCCAAUUUGCAUCAUGUUGGAUUACUGCAGCUAUUGCAACUUCCCACACAGGUUUGGUCUGACAUCUCCAUGGAUUAAAUUGAAGGGUUACCAAAAGUAAAUGGGAAGACAGUGUUGUUGGUGGUGGUUGAUCGCUUUUCAAAAUAUGCCCAUUUCAUUCCCUUGCCCCAUCCUUAUACAGCCGUCAGUGUGGCUCAUAUUUUCUUUUCUCAUAUCGUUCGUCUGCAUGGACUUCCUGAAUCUAUUAUGAGUGACCGUGAUGCUGCCUUUACAAGUAAUUUUUGGAAGGAAUUGUUUCGCUUAGUUGGAACUAAAUUAGCUUUUCAUCAGCAUAUCAUUUGCAAUCAGAUGGCCAUGUUUUGAAGAUUUUAAGCUAAGAUCAAAGUUUUGAAGCUUGGAGACCCUCGGAGCUCGUUCCUCCAUAUCUCUAAGUUUGGGAUCACAUCUCCUCUCGAUCUUCAAGAGGUAAGUGUAGAUCCUCAUCUUCUCUUAUGUUUUUAAGUAAGUUUUAUGAAGGAUUAAGGGGUUUUGAUGCAUGUUUAGGCUAGUUGUAAAAUGUUAGGGUUUAUGUUAGUUAAUGAGAAAUGUAAUGUUAAAUGUGAUGUUUGUUGGGGUAUAGGCUAGUUUUAUGCCCCUAUAUGCUUGAUGAUGUGUUUAUGCAUGCCUCUGAGUGUUAAGUAUGAGUUUGGAGGGUUUUGGGAGGCUAAAUGUGAGAGGCGAAUCGGGUUCUGCCAUUCUGGAGAACCCAGGUUCGGCUGCUGAAGCCAUGUUCGGCCGCCGAACCUGCCUGUGGAGGUAGCUUUAGGCCGCCUAAACUCGCCUCGAAAGUUGGACUUUCGGCUCUGGAGGAGAGUUUCGGCCGUCGAACCUGCCCCCGAAGAUUGGUGACUUUCGGCUCUGGAGGGAGUUUCGGCCGCCGAACUUGCCCCCGAAAGUGCCUAACUUUCGGAUCUGGAGGGACCUUCGACCGCCGAACCUGCCGUCGAAAGUCCCCUGCCCAGCCUUCCUUUGCCUGUUUUGCAUGCAUGUUUUAUGAUGUUUUAGGGGGGUUUUUGAGGAGUUGUUUAGAGUCAUGUUAGAGUAUGUUUGGUUCCUCAUUUGAGUCCACCUGUGUAGGAUCGGACCUGAGGAACCGAGGUGAUCAGCAGUGAGAUAGCUGCUUCAGAGUUAGUUCAGAGUCAGCCAGAGGUGAGUAGAACUAAACUAAUCUUCUAUUUCAAGGAAUCAAAUGUUUUAAGCAUGUUCAUGCAUCAUGUAUAUGUAAUAGGUUGGUUGCAUUAGACCUCACGAAUAUGACGCAUUUCAUUAUUUAUUGUGGGUGUGGAUGGACAACAGAACGAUCCAUUAGCCCUCUAGAUAUUAUGUUAUGUAAUAGAAGUCCUGAGGAGCUCCACCGAGGGCCGGGCACAGAGUAGAGGGAUUUUUGGGUCAGUUCAUCCGUGAUGUGAAUUGUUUGUGAUGUGAUGCAUUCCAUGAAAGCAUAUGUUUAUUAAUUUAUUUUUUUUACUGUUCUGCUCACUAAGCUUUUGUCGCUCACCCCUUUCCCCUAACCCCCAGGUGUGCAGGUUCAGAAUAGACCGGGAAGUCGUCAAGGUUGAAGGUUGUGUUAAGUGUAAUAGAUUAGUAGUGGACAUGUAAUGCAAAAUGGUAUAAUGUAAUGUAAUGUAAAGAUAUGUUCAUGGUUUAGUAUUGUGCUUGGCCCUAAUGUAUGGUUAGUCCCUUUUGGUACAUGAUUUUAAUGAAAUGUUUUUAAUGAUGAUAUGUUGAAUCAAGCUUGAUAUAUGAGAUAUUGACCCAACUGGAGCAUUUGAUGAGGGCUCCAGUAAGGGGUUUUAUGUAUACAGUUUUAGUGCAUGCACAAGUUAAGCUUGGUAAACGAAAAGUUUAAAGUUUUUAUGAAAAUGUAUGAUCAUGUAUGGGAUUUUAUCAGAUGUACAGGAUGUAUAGUAGGCUUGCUACGGGUCCCGAUGACCUUAAGUCGACCUGGAUCCUAGCGCCGUUAGCGGUCCGAUUUCCGGGUCGUUACACAAUAAGUCCACAACAGGAGGGAAUUCACACACUGAUUAAGCUCUCCACAAGGAAGGAAACAGGAAAUGACAAUUAUCAUGGCAAUCACCUUCGAUUCAGGAUUCCAUUAUACUGUCUAGCAAUUACUCUAAUUAUUCUGAUUAUAAUUAGUGAGCAAUUAUCUUGUAAUUAAAUUUUAUUUCCUUAUUUUAAUUUCUCUUAUAUAAAGAGAUAACUUACAUCAAUAAAGCAAGCAAUAUUUCAAAUACAUAAUCUGAAAAGUCAGACUCUAUCUCUCUUAAAAGGUCUUGAGGUUCAAGGGCUCCCUCAUCAGUAACCAUAAGUCAAAAUAGAAACAAGGGGUUGGCUCUUGAAGAAUACUUUGUGGUUCAUCAACCCGUGACACGAUCUAUUACUCAAGAACACAGCAACUUAUCAAAAACUAUUUUGUUUUUGACUUGAGACAUAUGCUAAACUAACUUGACGGCCAUUUUUGUGAUGCUUAUUACUUUGCUUCAACGUGGGGUUUGUGAAGCUUCCAACAAACAUUCAUCUACCCUUACUACAUAUAUCCCUUUUCGCUUUUUGUCUAUUGUGGUCUACUCCCUUUUUACUUGGUAUCAUUCUUUUUCAUCCUUCUCUAAUAUAUGCUUGCCUUUUUGAAAGCAAAAUUCAUCGUUCUCCUGCCGAAAUUGCUAAAUCAAGGACACUUGACAAGCGGGUUGGUACUCCCAUUAUGAGAGGAAAUGCUUUAUUGAAUUUCUGUGCAUAUAGCUUUCCUUUCACCGUUCUUCAUUUAAUUCUUUCAAGCAAUUUGUUGGUGAAGCAACCUAUAAAAGUCAGGAGUGCCCUGUGAUGCUCUCGGCAUUUGAAGAUUUUGUGUUGAAAUUUGUCUUGUUAAAUUUACAGUAUCGUGUGAGGUUUAAUCCUCAGAAAAAUGACGCCAUAGUAAUUUUUCUGGUACUGGAUCAUGAAAGUAACUCUAUAUGUUUAGUGGUCCAAAAGAUUUGAUCUGUUGCUUUCUAACAUGCAGCAAAAUGUUACUAAUUUAUAACUCGAUUCCUAGCCACAGGUAGUUCAGCUUGCAAAUGUUAAUUAUUCGCUUUUGGUUGUCCUGAUCCUGAAGCUUAUGGAUGCACACAGGCAAUUUCUUCUGGUAAGUCUCUGCAUACACUUGUAGAACCUUAGCAGAAGCAGGAGAAAAGUAAUUGUCAGUUUGUCACCUCUGCCCUGUGUCCCUGCCAUGGAUGGUAGGCAAUGGCUCUUCAUUUGGUCCAAAAAUUAUAGACUUGGAAGCCUUGAAUCCAGUUAUUCUUUCUCAUAUCAAUGUCAAAUAAAAGAAAAGAAAUUCUCUAACAUUCCAUUGCUAUCUUGUCAUUUAUGUUCUGCUCAGGAGUAGUUGGUGAAAUGUAACAUCCUUUGAUAAGAGCAGGUUGGUCAUUUGCAUACCUACCAAAGAAAUUUGGAGAGCCUUUCAGUGGCCUGUAGCCGUUCUUACAACUUCUAAAUUAGCUGUCUUAACUACUAAGUUUUAAUUACCAAAAGUUAUGGAGUACACGAAACAUUUAAGGAAUAUGUUGAUUAUGAAUGGUCAAUUUACUUAGAGCUAAUAGCUAGACUUUGCACUUUCCAUACCCUUGCUAUGUUUCUUUGUUUUAAGUUUUACCCAUUUCCAUUUAUACAUCUAAAGUUUAGAAGGGAUAAAAAAUUUGCAUAAUUUGUGGUCCAAUUUCUGGGUUUAUGUGCUCCAUCCAUUUGUCCAUCCAUAUAAUCGAUUUGAUCUUGAACCAAAAACAAAAUCGUAAUCGGCUGAUUUUAAAAAAAAAAAAAAAAAGGAAAAAAGUAGUUCAGAUGUCCAAUUUUCAUUUGACAAGAAAAAUCAGAAAAUUUCGAAUCAUAAUCGAUCAUGCCAAUUACCGGCUACAAUAGUAUUAAUAAACCCUAACAACUGUUGGUGGGUCUAAUACAUUCAUACAGGUGCACCACUUGGCAGUCGGCAUCCACUAACUUUUAAGCAUUUGAUGAAGAGGGUCCAACCCCAUUCCCCACCUCUAAAACAACAUGAUAAUUCAUUCUUGCCAUAUGUGCCCCAAAUUAUCAUUUUGUGCUCUACUUUUUAUUUUUUUAUUUUUUUAUUUUUUUAUUUUUUAUCGUAAAAUGAAUUGCAUUAAAAAUUUCAAUGGAUACUAAUGGGACUAAAAAGAAAUAAAAGAGAUACAAAUCCAAUAUGAUAACUUAAGCCCAUAUUCCAAUAGAGAUUCAACCAAACUUGUAAGAAAGUCCAAGCCCACAUGUAACUUGGAACACAUGCAGUUUGAAUUAUAACACGCCGGCACCAUCAUUGUACAACCUCUACCUUGUACGUAGUUAGAGAAGAUGAAGAAACAGCCGGACCAGAGCAAGAAAACACAUUAACAUCAUGCAUGCUCAGGAAAUAAUACCAUAGUAUUUUCAUUAAUUCACUAUUAACAUCAAAUAUAAAUAUGUAAAAUCAAAUUCAAAAAUAAAAAUUAAAUAGAAGUCAAAAUAGAUUCACUCGAAAUCUAAUAAAAUUAUUGACCAACAUCAUCUUCAAAUUAGAUUCGCCUUCGACUAAAUUGUUAUAAGUAAAACAAAAAAAGUUGAUAUCUUCAAAUAGGAUAAAUACCACAAUAAUAAAGAAAAUGCGAUAGAACUUAUUAGAUUUCUACUCAUAAAUGGCCUCGAGUUAUGAUUAAUUCUUUUCAAGCUGAAACGACUAAAUAUUCAAAACUCAAAACCUAACAACCCAUAAAUAAAACACAGAAACAUGUCCUUUCCAAAAAUAAAACAAAACUAAUGACGAUUAAACAAAACAAUACAAUAGCAGGCAGAAAGAAGGCCGAAGCCUCCAUUCACUGGCCAACGAAUGGCCCGCACCGUUUGCGUUGUUUUGUCACUAUGCCUCUAUCUCUCUAAUUAAGGAGAGUUCUAUAGAUUUUAAAUACUUUAAAUAUUAACAUAAAUAUAAUUAAAAAAAAAUCUCGUGUCUGAAAAUUUGACACAAAAUAAAAAUAGACACCAAACAAACUCAUUAAGAAAACAAAACACUAAUUCUCAAAUUUUUUAAAUCAUAAAAUAAUGUUGUACACUCUUUAAAAGCUUUGAAUCCCUGCAAUGAUUUUAGAAUUAGUUUUUCCCGUUAACGUAUUUAUCAUUUCCUUCGAUAUAUUUGAAAGGAAUAUUUGAAAGGGAUAAAAAUGUGAGGCCCUCAACCUAUCUAAAGUAGAAGUUGAAAGCAUGUUGAAGAACUUCAUUCAAGUUUGUAACCAAAGAUCCGAGAAUCAUUUUCAAUAUCUCUAAUGAAUUCUAACUCAAUGACUAUUUUGAUAAUAUGGGAUUUUAUUCUUUUCAAUUAUAGUGUAAUUCAUCUUCUUCUAGAUCUAAUAUAAUUGAUUACAAACACUAUAAUAGUUACCAGGAGAGCUGAUCCUGCUACAACAAAAGGAGGACAUAGCUUAGAUCUUUUCACAGCUUUCUCAGCUUUACUUGCUCCGUCGCUCAGAUCUUUCUGUUUCUGCACUUCUGAUGAUUCUUUCUCCUCCACUUGUUUUGCUUCAGGAUGCUGUACUUGAUCACUUGCUUCUUCUUUGAUUUCAGUUCCUAUUCCUGGAAUAUCUUCUCGUUUAUGAUCCUCAUCUGGUUGUUUUGCAGGCUGCAUUGUUUCAGGAGGCUCAGUUUUGUCUGGUUCUUGAACAUUUGUAUCAGGUUCCUUCUCUUCUGGCUCUUGUAAUUCUUCGCUUUCUUUCCCACGAACAUUUUCUUCCUCUGCAAUUGCUGCCUCUGGAAUUUUCUGUUCAUUAUGCUGCUCUUUCAGAUCAGGAAAUGUGUCUGCAGUUGGUUCUUGUUUCUCCUGUUCAGCUUCUUCAGACUCCAUGGUUGUAGUUUCUGGAUUAUCUGGAGUAGCAGGAGGUUUUGGCUUUUCAGGAGGAGGGGUCUCUUCUAAUUCUCUUGGUUUAUUUUGCAAUUCCAUGUUAACAGAUGUUUCAGGCACCAAAUCUUGCUUUUUCCUGAAUUUGUCUUCAUCAAAAUUUUCCCUUUCAAUUACUUGCUUGUUUUCAAUUUGUGGCUGCUCAGGUUUUUCCUGUAGCAUCCCUCCACUAUUGUCUCUUUCAGAAAACGCUUGAGCUUCCUCUUUUGGUUCUUCAUUAGGAACUUCUGCUAGAAUUUGUUGGGUUUCAGGUUCCCUUCUUUCAAUCUCUUCCUGUACAACAGGUUCAAUUUCUUCAGUCUCGGAAUCUCUAUUUGCUACUUCGGGAGGCUCCUCAGCUGCAUUUCGGAUAACUCCAUCGAACUCCUCUUCCUUCACUUCCUCAAUAUUCAUCCCACGCAUUCCUUUCUCCGAUUUCGGCAUAACAAUCGUCAACUUUGAUUCAUCAUCAUUGAACUUGGCCUUGAUUCCAUCCAAAAUGAUCCUAUCAGGAAUUCGAAAAACCUUGUCGAAUGCCUUUAACUCGACAUCUUUCUUUCGCAUAAUCCACCCAGAUAACACCAUCUCCUGGACUGCCCCCUUCCCACUUACCUCAAUCUUACUCCCAUCUUCAUUGAUCCUGAUGUCAAUAUUCUCUUUUCUAAAGCCUGCAUUAAUUGUUUGAAUUAAGAACUUAAUCAUCAUGUAAAAUUCGAAUAGGAACUUAUACAAAUAAUUGAGCUGCUUAUACAUCAAGAGGGCUAGCCAAUUCGAUAUUACAACGGGAUCAUUCGAUUCAUUUCUCAGCAAUAUCGAAGAAGAAGAAUUAAUAGUAAUAACCUUUGAGAUAUGCAAUUAGAAUGAACAUGGUGUCAGUUUCUCUAGACAAGAAGAGAGGUCCACUGCGAUCUUUGGCAAUCUGAAGGUGGGCAUGAGAAGUGAUAUCAUCUCUGUAGUGGGUGAUCUUGAGUCCUAUUUCCAGUUCCAUUUGCUAUCUUUCUUUUUUCAGAAAAGAAGAGUUGAUAUUGAGAUGGAGAAUGGGUUGAUUCUGUGAAUUAAGCAGAGGCAGUUUAGCAAAAUUAAUAAAGGAAAAUAAUAAUAAAAAGAAUAGGAAAUGGUGGCUUGGUGUAUCCACAUGAGAAAGGCACAUAUUCAUUGCUUCACAAUAUUAAGUUGUCAGCGCCGUUCAAACAAUUUGAAAGUCUGUUGCUUCUUUUGCCUUGGUGGGAAGCUAACGGCUCUUAUUGAUGCUGUAAUGUGAAACAUGAUCUGAAUGUCAAACAAUUCUCAAAAGAUGAAUUAUAAAGUGUGGACUUAUACACCAAAUAAGGAGUCACACUUUCUCUUCGAUGCUGGCAGAUAUCAUUCCUCUGUUCACUAGAAUUUCAUCAAAGCGACAUUGCCAUUUGAGAAGAAUUAGGGGCUUGUCAUCCAAGCGACAUUGUUAUCGGAGGAAAAGAGGGGCCUGUGCUCGUAACGCUUGCCUCAGAUUCUGAUUUCUCAAAAGUAAAUCUUAAUUAUAUAUUCUUUCAUGGAGAAGAUUUACUGUGAUUAGGAUUUGAGAUGAUGUUCAAAAUGAUUCUAGGGAUUUGAAGAGUAAAGGAAUAUUUGACAUUGAUAAGGGUAGUUUUGGUAUGUAAAAGUCAUUAUCUUUUCUUUGACUAAUUUUUUAAUUUUUGACUUAAAUUUAAUGGACGGACAAAAUUAUUAUUUGACAGAAUUAAAACUGAAGAAUAAAAGUAUUGGAUUUUAAAAAUAAAAAAAAAAAUUAUUAAUUAUGAUAUAAUUUAAAAAUUAAAAAGUAAUAUUUUCUAUUAAUUAAUUUCUUUUACGUUUUAGAUGUAUUUAAUUAUUUUAUACAUGAGAUGUGAGAUUGAGUAUAAUUAGGGUGAGCAUUUGAUUCAUUCAGUUUAAAAUCUAACUUAAUAAAUUGAAAAUUAAAAUUUUAGUAUUUAUAAAAAUCGAAUCGCUUUUAAUCAGAAAUCAAAUCGAACUGAAUUGAUUUGAUUUAAUUUGGUUUGAUCAGUUUAAAUUUUUAAUAAAUUUUUUAUUUUUUAUACUUUAUUUUUAUUUUUAAUAUUUUAAAAUUUAAUUAAAAUAUUUUAAUUUUAAUAUAAUCUAAUAUUUCUUUAUUAUUAAAAAUAAUAUAUUAUUAUCACCGAUCGGUUUGGUUCGAUUUUUUUAAUUUUUUUUUAUCAAAAUCGAAUCGAAUUAAAAUAACUAAAAUUUUUAAAAUUAAAAAUCGAAUCGAACCGAAAUUUUAAAUUAAUUUAGUUCAAUCGAUUUUUUUAUUUAAACUAAAUACACCCCUAAAUCUAACAAAAAUAAAAAGAAUGAGAAAAAACAAUGUGAAAUAAGUGCCUCUAUCCUAAUGCCCCAUGUUAAUUAUAAGCAUUAGUGAUGCUAAUGGGUGAAAUAGGAAGCCAAAUCAAGUGUAAAUAAUGAGCUUCUCUUCUUUCUUUCUUUUUUUCUUAACUAUUAUCUAUUAUUAAAAAAGAUAAUAGAUGUAAGGAUUAUCCAUUAACUCCAGGAAAUUGUGGUUAAUUUCCAUUAAUUAAUGAACCUUAACUAUAUUGUUUGAUGGCAGAAUUCCUUAAAUAGUAAUCCGAAACUUGAAAUAAAUUAUAGGAGCAUGCUCAAAAGAUAUUAAAUCCGAACCACAGAAGCGUAGCUACUAGCUUUUGGACAUCUCGAGUUUCGGAUAUACGUCGUUUUGAACAUGGCAUAGGUUUCGGAUAUCUCAAGUUUGGACUAACAAUAAAAUCUAUAAGAAGUUAGAAUCGUAUUCCAUUAUGAUUUUGACGGUAGAAUCCCCACGAGAAAUACUAAAAUUAGAAACAAGAGUUUUUACUCCAACAAAUUUUUUAAAAUAAUAUUUAAUUAUUAUAUAUUACUAUUAUAAAAUUAUGGUUACAAUAAAAUUAUAUUUCCAGUUUAAAAAAAUUAAGCUACACCAAUAUUAAUCCUUUGUCUCAAAAUUUCUCUAUGUGGUCUCUCUGUGACUCGAUACCCUCGCCUUUUCAUCUUUCUUAAACUUAAUUUCUUCUUUUCCUAUAUCAAGGAAGACGAUCUGCGUUAAUUAACUAUCGAAACGGCUUAUCCCGUCAAAAGUUAAGAUAGCCGAAAGCAAUUAUCAUCUUGUGUUGAAACUGCCGAGAACUCGGCAAUCCUCAGACAGUUAAUAUAUUGAAGGAUUUGGUUACUAGUUACAAGCCGGAUAUUUUAUUUUUGAUGAAAACAAAAACUCUUAGUUUUCAUAUAAAAAUUUUUCAUAAUUUUUUACAUUUUGAUGGUUGUUUCUCAGUUAAUAGACAAUAGUUGAGAGUAGACCUUUCGUUAAUGUGGAAGAUUUAUGUGUUGGUUGAUUUUUUUUUUUUAAUUUUAUUGAUUUCGAAAGGUCAUGUUAAAUGGAGAUUUACUAGUUAUUAUGGAUUUCCGGAUAAUUAUUAUUUUUACACAGAAAAUAAAAAGAAUAUAAUUAAUAUAUUUAAAAUAAUAAUUUUAUAUAAUUUGUUUAAAUAUUAUUUCAUUAUUAAAUUAUUGUUAGAAUUAAUAAUUAAUUUUACUUUUUCAAUAUACAUGAAAUGGAGAUAUAUUAGAAAAUUAAUAAAUAGAUUAUCAAAUUAAAAAGGGAAUGGACCCAUAUUUUGGGAGAAUGAAAAGAAAAAAAACAAAAAAUCUAUUGCAUGGCCAAUUGAGCAAGAUGAGUCAAAGAAAAACAAAGAACAAAAGAGAAAAUUACUUUACCAUUCAAAUAUACAAAAGAAAGUGGGAGAAAGAACAAAGAAAAAGAAAAAAGAAGUAGCAAUCGAUUGCAUGGCCAAAACAAAAACAUCAAAAAGUGAGAAAUAUGAUUCAAAAGUAGGGUCCAAAUAUCAUCAUAAUCAUAAUAAAGCUACUUUGAACUCAUUAACCAAACUACUCACUGCAUAUUUAGCCUACUUCCUUCCUUUUUACACCAAAUUGCAGCCCUCCCUUUGCCUCCUUCUCUCUUCUUUUUUUCACAGAGGCAGCAGCAAUAUCACACAUAAUAGAGUCAUGUGAACUCCAAGUAGCCCCACUGCCACCUGCAUAAUCAAUUUUCCUUUCAAAACCACUACCUCAUCACAUGCUUUUAUCAUCAACAUAAUGAUGAGCUUUUUCUUUAAUUUAAUUUCUUUCUUUUCAUGAAAUGUCACUUGUGAAAAGAAUGUGUAUAAUCUAGAGGGAAGAUAUUUAAUCAGUGGAUUAAUGAUGGAGUAGUAUUUAAAUGUAGAAAAUUAAUGAUGAAGUAGAAGAUGUAGAAAGUUUUAAUGCUACAAUGUAGAAAAUUAAGAGAUUUUCUGAAGGAAAAGAAAAUGAAAAAUAUGUGUGCAUGGGAGGAGAGGCACCUGAUGAUGAUGACCAGAGGCAGGCAACGGGCGUAUAGUGGCGGAAUCAACUUCACCGGUCGGCAAAGGAACGGCUGGAUUACUAUUGAUAAAUGGUAUGCCGCCACCUUUAUCCGGCACCACUGUUGGAACUGUCAAUGGAGAGCUUGUACCACUACUGGGUUCUGGAGCCGGUGAAGAUGCUGCUUCUCGAGGAUGGAAUGGCCAUGGAUAAGCUGGAGAAGACGACACUUCACCACCGGAAAUGGGUGGUGGAAUUGGAGUUGGUGUUGGAGGGAACUGUGAUGCUGGUAGUGGUGGUGGUGCUUGUGGAGAUACCUUUAUGAACAGUUUUUGAGAGUCUUGAUUGCAAGAUUUAUGUGAGCCAUUGUUGAAUCCGAAGUAGUAGAAACCAGGACGUGAUGGGUACCACUUGAUUUGCAUCAAUUCGAGAUCAGAAACUUUGUUAAACAUUUUAGUAAAAGAAAUUAAAAUUCCAAGCUCUAAAAGGAGAAGAAAAAUGGGAAAAACAAGAAUUUCAGAGCUAGUCUUGGUAUUGUAAAAGAUUCCAGUUAGAAGCAAAUCAAGAAACUUGAACCAAGUUUUCAAACCCAGAAGAUCCUUUAGCCAUUUCUCUAGCCUAAUAUGCAUGCAUAAUGAGAGAGAGAGAGAGAGAGAGAGAGAGAGAGAGAUACCGUAUAGGAGGUGGAGUUGGGCUUGGUGAGAAGUGAGGCUUGAGUGAAGUUGCAGACAUUGAAGGCUCUUAGAUUCUGAAAAAUGUAGAGUUUGAACUGAUACUUGUGUUUGAAAACUGAAAGAAGAAGAAGAGAAAAUGCAAAGGAAUGUCAGCAAUUGUAAGCUAUAGUAGCCAAACAAAGAAAGAAACUAAAAGCAACAAAUCAGAAACAACAAAGGGGAAAAAAAAAAGUCUUUCAUUAAGUGCUCACUGAUUGUGUCUCCUACAUGAACAUUGGGAUUUUUCCAAUCUGAAACACCAUCUACAAGGAUUGUCAUGGAGUGAGAAGCUUGAGAGAGCAUGAAGAGUAGAAGAAAGAGAAGGAGAGUCAUGGAAGAAAUCCUCAUGGGUGUUCAAGAUUAUUAGACUAUUAGAGGCGGGGAAUCAAUUAGAAGAGAGCUUAUUUAUGAGUUAGGAGCAGCAAAAGGAAGCUUUGAUUAGAAAAAUAUUAGAGAGGUGUUUGGCAUUUUGAUGGGAGGAGAGGAGAUUUGAAUGGAAAACAGAGAAGGGAAAUUGGAGACUGUGUUUAGUGUAUGAUUAUUUUAUACAGUAAAAGGUGGUAUGAUUUUGUUUGUGGAAAAUCUGAAACCCAUCAUCAAAAAAAGCUUUUAAAAAAGUAGAAAGAAUAAUUAAAUAAUAUCAAGAAGGGAAAUUUUGGGUUUGAUUCUCAAAAAAAAAAAUGAUGAGAAUUAUUAUUCUUAAAUGAUUAGGUCAGUGAUUAUAAGCCUGCAGUCCUUUGGCUAUAAACAGCCUAAAAUCACUUAAUCUCAUUGUUCUUUUUAUUGGGUGGUGAAGAAUCUAAAUUUACUUUCUCUAAUCAAAUCUCUUACUUUCUUCAAAAAAAAUAAUAAUUAUUUGAUUAUUUAAUUUGUAGAAUGCAAUGAUGCUCAUAAUUUUAUGCUUAAGGGAAUAAAUAAGGUUGUAAAGAAGAGAAAAAGAUUUUCUAGUAAGCAGAUUUAAGAAAGGAAACAAAGAGGAAAACUAAAGAACACAGCUUGUAAGCUUAGGAUACUCAUUUUUAUUUUACCUAAUUUUGUUUAGAAUCACUUUAAGUGGUGUGAAAAUUCUCUUGCCCAUCAUUAGUAGUGGAAAUUUUUUUUAUUAAAUUAAAUUUUUUUUUUUUACUUACUAUGAACCAAAGAGCAUUCCUUCUUUCUUAAUUAUCUAAAAAAAUAAAUAUAAAAAUAUAAUUAUUAUCAAUAAUUUUUUUUUUACAAAACUUAAUUUAAUUGAUUUUUUUUAUAAUCUUAUUAUUUAAAAUGAAAGACUCAUUCUUUAAAUUCUAAAAAAUGUUUUUUAAAAAUAAAAUCAAACAUAAUUAUGUAAAUUUAUAUUUAAAUUAUUUUCUUGCAUGGAACUUCCACCACCAUUAUGCAUUCUGAAUUAAUCAGUAUAGAAUAAUAUGGUCUUGAAAUUGCUUGGGAAGGGAACUGAAUCUGAGUGUCAAGAUUUAUCUAUCUAAUGUGAUAUGGAAUGCAGAAUUUUAAUAAAAUAGUAAUCCACUUUCUUCAUUCUCAAUAGAUUCAUACUAUUUGGUUAAACAUGGCGACAGUUGAGUUCUUGUCUGUAGUGAACACAAGGACUUGCAUGCCUAGUUCCCAAGUCCAAGACAUUUCAAUUUUCAACCACAUUGCUUAACUUUAUAAUUAUUUUACUUGAAUCAAUUGAAGCUUUCAAUGAUCAUUCAGAGAAUUCUUGCAGAAUCUGUAGAAUUUAUACUUUGUUUAUAAUAAUGUGAAAUCCAUUUUUUUUUCAAUGAUUAUGAAAAAAAGUCUUAUGAUGAUAAAUGCUAAAUUCAGAGAAAGUGCCAAUUCUUUUUCACAAUAUUAUUUGACAUUUUCAUUAUUUUUUUUGGGUAUUUCAUGAUUGAUAUUGUUGGAUUCUCAGGUUAUAGUAAUCAUGGAAUUAUGUUCUAACAUUAUUGUAAAUCGCCUAAUGAUUUAUAAGGUGGAUAGUUUGGAUUCUGCAAUUAGGAAUGCAAUCACUAGAUGUUAUCUGAUUUUUAUUUUUUUUUUAAAAAAGGUUAUAACCGGCAAACUGCUCAAAUUACACAGAAAUUUUUUUUUAAACUAACUUUAAUUAAAAUUAACAGAUUUCAAAAUUGAAAUGUUAAUUUUUUUUUUGAAAAUUUGAAUUUUAAUUAUUUUAGUUUUAAUCAAUAUUUAGAUUAGUCGGAUUAGUUUAAACUGGUAUUAAAUUAUCAAUUAAGCUUUAAAAAUCAUAACCCCAUUUCAAAGUCUAUAAAAUUUAAAAUAAACUAACAAUUAUUUUAAACAAAUGACUUUAAACUAGAAUACGAGCAAAGAUCAAAGUUUAUCACAUUUACCGUAACUUUAAGGACAAAUUGGAGCAGGUUUUGUUUGUGAAUUUGGGAUGAUGGGGGCAAAGGCUGUGAAGAAUAAGAGGUCUGAGACGAAUAGAGACAAGAAUUAAAAGACAAAAGAACAGUCACAGAUGCUCAGAAAAGAUGCAUCGAACCCCAUAAUUCACUUUCUUAAAAGUACAUAUUGAAAGCAGGUAUACAUUUCUCCUUGUUAUUUGUGUUCUCCUUUCCCCAUUUCACUCUUCCCAUUUCGAAUUUCCCCCAGCAAAAAAGAAAGUCCACCCAUUUUAAGAUUCCAUUCUAAUAUUUAUAGUAAUAAUUCAUUAAUAAUUCAUCUACUUUUACUCAAUUCGUUAGGCUUAUUUUAUUAUUAUUAUUUUAAAUUUUCGAUUAAAAGAAAAAAGAGCUUGAAAAUGUUAAAAAGUAUGAGAAGAUGAAACCCAUUAUGAGUCGUAUUGAUUGAUGGAAUUUUGCAUGAUCCUCCUGCAUAUACUGCUUCAUCAUAGAAUUAAAAGCUGCUGAUGAAAAUUCCAAACUUACACUCAUUGGAAUGAAUAUGUAGCAGUGUCAUUUUUCUAAUAUGCUUUGAGCAUGCAGAUUCCAGACUACUCAAACUAUCACAAGAAGCAUCUUUUCUAUAUUGCCCUCCCAAAGGACCAUUUCUUACAUCAUAACACAAUCACCACAUGCCUCAGAGAAAGAGAGAUUCCCCAACAAGACAGCUCCAGUUCACAUCAGUCAUCAUAAACAUGCAACAAAUUCUUUCCAGGAAGAUAAUGCAGCAUCAGCUUUAAUUUAAAAUAUUUACCAUCCACCAAUCUGUAUUUUCUAAGCUAUCAUAAGCUGUCAACACAUAAAUACAGUAUCACAGUCCAGAAUCCCUUCCAUCCCCCCAUCCCCCCUUCACAAUAGCAAUUGGGAGGAAAAGGAACAAAUGUAUGCCUUUCUCUACACCUGCUAACUAGAUAAAUAACUAGAUCCUUCUGCCGUCCAUCUUCCCAUUAUAGAUAUUUCCUAAAUUCAGUUAAGCAAAGGAAUUCUCCUUUCCAUGAUUCAGAUUGCAAUUCCAACCCNNNNNNNNNNNNNNNNNNNNNNNNNNNNNACACUCUCUUUCCCCUUCUAUAUCGUGUAACACAAUUGGUCUCAGAAAAUAAUCGGGUUCAAAUACCUAAAUAAAAAGAAAACGAAUGUUUUACUAAGAAUAAUGCUUCUCAUUUACUCUCCAUGUCAGUGAAGGAUAUCCAUCUUCCAUCUCACACCUCGAGCAUAUAUAUUCCUACCACUGCAAGGAGUGAACUCUCCGAAGCCUUCGAGGUGGUCUUCUCUUCUCAACAACAGGCACCACUUUCUCCAUAAGCUGCAGGCAUAAAAAAAAUGUAAGGAAAGGAAAAAAAAAAAAACAGCUGAUAAGUUCUUUGCCUAUGCUUUGCUGUUCCUAUUUAGCCUUGUCUCCUCUCUAUCAAUUUCAUAUGCUUACAUAUAUGAUAAAAUCCAUGGAACCAUGUUCAAAGAAAACAACGAAACAAGUUAUAAUUUUCCUUCCCCAAAUUUUAUACCAUGAGAUAAUUAAAUAUGUCCAAGCAUUAUAGAUGCACACAUAGGAAACUACUUUCACAUUUUAGUUUUACCCUUGUUUCCUUCUUCUAGUUCUCAUCUCUAAGACUUUCUUCUUAUAACCUUGUAAGGAGAAAAACAAGUUGGCAGCUCUCUUUAUAACAUAAAUAGUUGACUAGGAAAUCUUAGAUCUUAUACCUUCAUGCUGUAACAUAUCUUGUAUUUACCUACAAUUCUUUCUUUGCUUACAUGGUUCUUUGAUACGAGGUUUGGGUGUUGAAUUCAAAAUCAUGUAAAAAAUAAAUUAAACCAAUUUUCUGCUCAUGAUUCUAAAACAUAUUCCAAUAGUAACUUAUUUAAAUAUUUUCCUUACUUCAAGCUCAUUUGGAAAAUCUUUACUGCAACUCCAAGUUGCUGUGUAAUUGUGUAUGAAUAAUUGAAAGCUGGGAAAUUAAAAAUACAAAUUUCCUUUCAUAUGUACAAAUAUAGAAUGGGACUUCAAAGGAAAUAGAUAACCUACAUCAACAAUUCAGUAUUAAAAGUAAUUUUACUUAAUUCCUGCAUCUUUAUGAAUCUGGAAUUCAGCCUUCUAUACCCAAGUUACCCUGCAACAUUCAGCUAAAAGAGUAGAAAUUUCACUUUGGCUCUUUAAAAUUAUUAGACUGAUUAAUUUCCACUUCCCUAAAUGGCAAAAGCUGUAAAAAUAAUCUUAAGAGAUCUCAUCUUUUAUGCCAAGAAACAUAUGAAGAAAGGACUAACUUUCAGAUGAGAUGGCUAUCUACAGGACUUCUCUCUGAACAUGCUGAGUAUGUGAUGGAAACUCAUCCAGAAAGAGGCAUCUAAAUGAAUUUCAUGCUGCACCAGCAAAACUUAGUCGGGCCUCUUGUGCUAAACAAAUCUAGAUCUUCCCUAUAUGUUCAAUACAUCAACAUCAAAAACAAAAGAUAGUCUCACCAUCCCUUUUUCUCUUAAGAUACUUUCAACAGGAAAAAUUAAGAAAUGUAACAUUACCAAAUGGUUUUGUCCUUUAAUUUUACAAAAGGAUAGAUAGUCUAUGCUCCUAUGUAAUAUCGUGAGAUUUGUCCUUCACAGAUUCAAUGCUUCUAGUUUACACUAAAUCAAAAGUUUGUCACAGGGUUCCUUUACAACAUGGGAAAGGUCCCAAUAAGAGUCCAUAUAUUUCUUAGUACUUCAAAAAUAAGCUACUGACAUUCUGUACCUAUUCUCUUAUCAAAAUUAGACACCUUUCAAUUGUGUUGAAAAAUUAUAUAUAUAUAUAUAUAUAUAUAUCUACAUAAACACACACAGACAGAUACACAAACAAAUACAUCCUUAGGUACAUCAGUCAGCCCCAACCCACAAUACUGCAAGGAGAACCAAAACCAAAAUCUUUUUUGUUCCUGUACAUCUCUAGUACAUGUAUGGUCCACCAAAACCUAUGUUGACAACAAAAUCCUCAGUAGGUUAGAAUACUAGGCUUCCUUCUCCUUUCUUCAUGCAUGUCAUUUUGUUUUUAUGCCAAUGCCUAAAUAAUCCAGUAUAUUCGCCAAUCCUCCAUCUCAGUUAGUUAAAAGCUUGAACACGGUUCUCUUUUCUUUUCUUUCUUUCUUUCUGUCUUUCUUUAUAAUUAUUAGUCAAAGAAUCUAACCCAACCAAAUGCAAGCAUAAGAACAUUCAAAAUAAUAAUAACAGUAUACCUGCUUGAACCUUUCUUUGGUCCUCUCUUCCUGCACAACAAAUUUCAUUGGUCAGAACACAUAAAAUACUUUGCUUAGGUAAUGUAGAACAAGUAGAACAUCAGUAUGGCUAAAACUUGCAGGACGGUCCAAGACAAGUGAGAAUACAAAAUAAUAUUAAAUAAAAAUUGGAUGUUCUCUUUGACAGUCGCUGACAAUUAAAAAUAAAAGUACAAACCAAGAGGAGAAACUAAAAGGUAUAGCAACUGUGUUUACUUGAUCCAAUCAAUUUUUUCAAUAUAAACAGAAUCAAGAAAUGACUAGCCUGCAAAACUCUCCAAACAAAAUGAAAUAUGGUGAAUACUUGAUGAGAUUUAACUUAAGCUUUGGUGCUCAAAAAAUGUUUUUAGAUAAUUCCCGAUUAAAAAAGUAGUCAUUUAAGUGCCAUGAAGAUCAUCUAUAUGAAUGCCAUAAUCAGUGUGAGUUGAGCUAUACUGUGAGGCUGGGUGAAUACUCAGCAUAUUAAGAAGAGAAAUGGAAGGAGGAAUGAGGGCUCAGGAUGUAGGGAAAUAGUAACUCACACCAAUUGCCAAAGUCUUACUCAUUUAAAUAUUCUAAAGCUGUUUCAGAGAACUAAGAAAAACAAGUAGAAGAGAAGAAGCAAUAGGACUGAAACGGAAACAGUAUGAAACAGACACAGGUGCGCAGCUACAAAGUUACAAACUAAGACAACCUGUCUUAUAUGUACAAUGAUGCACAUUUAUUUUUAAUUUACCCUUUUCCAUUAAUGAUUAAUGACUCCAAAAGUUAGAGAAAAUCACAAUAUUAAACAUGCAGAUACUAGACACUUCACACUAGUUUAAUUUAGCACACGCUGCACACCCCUAAUGAUGACAACGAGAACAGAAUUAGAUGCACUGCUUCAGGUAGACAACACCAAGAACAUGAAAUUAACACCAAUAAUUGAUGGCAGACUUCAUUACUUGAAUUGAUGGCACACUUCACUUCAAAGUAAGCAGCCAAACCAAUCACAAAGUCUCUAUGUUUUCCUAUAGCUCGCCUACAAGUAAUUAAGUAGGCAAGUGAUAAAUCAAUAGUUAAAGGCAUUUCCCUGGAUCCACUGCAGAUAGAGCAAGUCGAUUCAUGUUAAAGUUGUUCAAGGGACCAUUCUUAAGGGAAAACCUUAUCAACAGGACAAUUUUUUUUUCACAACUUAAUGGCAAAACAUUGAAAUAAUGCAGAGUGGUGAACUUCAAAUAGCCAGAUCAGAAAGUUCAUUGAAAAAAAAAUGCAGUUGAACUUUUGUUAUUGUAAUUAUCAUUUUAUUUUAUACCAUAACUUAGCUGCAAGUAGUUCUCUAGUCUGAACACUGCAAUGAGAAAUGUAUUAACUAUCAAUAAAAUUAGAAGUGUACUCUGAUUACAGCAAAGGAUUCUACACACCUAAAAUUCCUUUUUUUCCCUAAAACAUUUACAAUGAGAAGUUACCUUCUCUUUCAACAACUGCUCAUUCUCCUCCUCUAGCCUCACUGCCAAGGACUCCAAUUCCACCUGAUAAGCCUAAAACCCAGAAGAACCAGCAAUUUAGAAAGAGAAUGCGCCAUAAUUGCAACAAAAUCCAUCAAAAGAACAUAUAUACCUCAGCAUUUAUGCCAAAAACAAAAAGAGAGAACAUAUUUCAACUUACCUGCUUCCUCUCUCUAGACCUGGCAGCUGACUCCCUAUUCUUGAUCAUCCUCCUCUGUCUUUGCUGCGCCGCCUUAUCUAAUGGUUCCAUUACGAGAGUCCUACCUCUCUUUCCCCUGCCUACAACAUUUCCACCUCUUCCAGCAACCAACUCAGUCUCAUUUGGAAACCCAACAAUCGACCCCUCUACUUUAUCCAACAUCUGAAACGCACUGGGUGGAACCGGAUCAAACGCAUAAACUCCCCCACUCAACCUCUCCGGCGGUGGCAUCUUGACUUCAUCCUCCUCCCCAACCUCUACUGCCCCAGUCUUGACCAGAAAAUCCUCCAACGUCAUCAUCUCAUCAGGCUCCUCCUUCAUCUCCUUUCUCCCCGCGACAAUUUCCCGCCACACAUCGUCCACGGUUUUACUAGCCUGAGGAAGAACACUGUUUAUUUCUUGAUUAUUGCUACUAUUAGUAUGGUUUGUCUCAAUUGUAGCCGGGGCCGGCGCCGGUGGAGGUGUUUCCGAGAGGAGCGGAGCAGGUGUGUCCAUGAGAGUAAUUUGGGCAUCAAGGAGAGUGGACUCAGCCGAAGGAGUGGCGUAGACAUUACUUAAGAUGCCGUCGACGGUCAUCGUAGACGCUGCCGAUGAUGAUGAAGUUGACGUCAGACUAUUGAUGCGUCUAGUUGGAUUAGAAGAACAAGAAAAAGAAGUAAAAGCAGUUAGUGGUUUUGCAGAAGCAGAAGCAGAAGCCGAAGAAGAAGCACGUCGAGAUCGAGCCGUUACUGAUGAAGAUGAUGAUGAGGUCAGAUCCGAACUUUUCGGUUUCGACGACGCCAUCAUCUUCGACGACGCCAUUCCAGGGUAGUUUUCUCCUUUUUCUGCUCCGAUAUAUCCUCUUUCUCUCUCUUUAGGAUUUAGUUCGAAGAAAUUACGAUUCAACCUUCCUUUUCUUUUCCCUUGUUNNNNNNNNNNNNNNNNNNNNNNNNNNNNNNNNNNNNNNNNNNNNNNNNNNNNNNNNNNNNNNNNNNNNNNNNNNNNNNNNNNNNNNNNNNNNNNNNNNNNNNNNNNNNNNNNNNNNNNNNNNNNNNNNNNNNNNNNNNNNNNNNNNNNNNNNNNNNNNNNNNNNNNNNNNNNNNNNNNNNNNNNNNNNNNNNNNNNNNNNNNNNNNNNNNNNNNNNNNNNNNNNNNNNNNNNNNNNNNNNNNNNNNNNNNNNNNNNNNNNNNNNNNNNNNNNNNNNNNNNNNNNNNNNNNNNNNNNNNNNNNNNNNNNNNNNNNNNNNNNNNNNNNNNNNNNNNNNNNNNNNNNNNNNNNNNNNNNNNNNNNNNNNNNNNNNNNNNNNNNNNNNNNNNNNNNNNNNNNNNNNNNNNNNNNNNNNNNNNNNNNNNNNNNNNNNNNNNNNNNNNNNNNNNNNNNNNNNNNNNNNNNNNNNNNNNNNNNNNNNNNNNNNNNNNNNNNNNNNNNNNNNNNNNNNNNNNNNNNNNNNNNNNNNNNNNNNNNNNNNNNNNNNNNNNNNNNNNNNNNNNNNNNNNNNNNNNNNNNNNNNNNNNNNNNNNNNNNNNNNNNNNNNNNNNNNNNNNNNNNNNNNNNNNNNNNNNNNNNNNNNNNNNNNNNNNNNNNNNNNNNNNNNNNNNNNNNNNNNNNNNNNNNNNNNNNNNNNNNNNNNNNNNNNNNNNNNNNNNNNNNNNNNNNNNNNNNNNNNNNNNNNNNNNNNNNNNNNNNNNNNNNNNNNNNNNNNNNNNNNNNNNNNNNNNNNNNNNNNNNNNNNNNNNNNNNNNNNAUCAAUUAAGUAUUUAAUUUUUUUUUUUUUGACAAUAGACCUAAUUACAUAUAGAAUAAAUAGAUUAAAGCUAAUCAAAUCGAUUUAAGUUAAACCAAUCAAAAUUCAAAAAAUCAAUCUAAAUUCAGAAAGACCACGGCAAUUUCAUCGACCUUCUAUAUUCGACAAACCUACUAAGCUACUGCAACCCAACUCAACAUAGCAGACAAUCAAAUGCUUUAGCUACUUCAAACUCAAAUUAGAAAACAAAAAUUAGAGACCCUAGAAUCUUGAAUGAAAGACACAAGCUAAAAAUCUGAGAAAAGGACAAACUCCAUGCAUGUAAUUGGAAAUAUAUAAAGAACAACAUCAAUGGCGAAAUGGCAGUGAAGAAUCUUAUUAACAUCUCAAUCUCCUAUAGUAUGAAUAAAAAUUGUAAAAAAAAAUGUGAGGCAAUGAAAUCUCUAAAACAAAACACUACUGAUUACCACAUUUUUGUUAAGCACAAUAAAAGAGUCACACCAGUACAGACCAACAAAGUCUGUCACAUGCAAACCCCAAUUCAUAAGAAAAGAAGCUAAAACUAAACAAACACUAUAUAAUGAAAGAAUAAGACAAUGGGAAGGGAAUCAUCGCCGCAAAAGCAACUCGAAGGACAGACUUUUCCCUUGCCCAGGAGGCAGAGAAAAGCAAACUAAAAAACAACUAACGAGAAUCGAAGAUGACUGCCUUGUUGCUAGACGAAGUAGAAGUGAGCUUCCCUCCUUGCAACCUUCCUCUUUGCUUUCUUCUUUAUUGUUUCUUUCAUUCCUCAUUUUUCUCCCUCUAAAAACUCUUUCUUUUCUUCGCCCAUUAAAUUCAUUAAAAAAAUUAUCUUUUCUGUUAAAAAAAUUAUUGUCAAUUAAUUUCUUAAUAAGAGUAACAUCUUUAUAUGAUAUUUCAUGCUGAAUUCUCAUAUCCUUUCAUCCCUCCUCCACCUCUCUCGCUCUUUAAUUUUUUUUUUUCGUCUCAUAAUUAUAUUUUUAUUUUUAUUUUUAACUGUUUUAAAAUAGUGUUCUCUUUAUUUUUUUAUAUUAUAAUUUAUAUAUAUCGACUAUUAUAAUUUUAAUUUAUUUUAUUUUAUUUUCAAUAUAAUUCAUAAUUAAUUAUUUUUUUUUUCAUAUAAAAAUUCAAAUAACCUUUUAAUAUUAAGUUCAAACCACAUGUCUUUAACAAUGAUUUACUGUUUCAAUGAAAUUAAUGUCUCCUUUUCUAUUAAAAAUAAGUAUAAUAAAAAAAAUAUUUUUUUACUAAAAUAACUAUAUUUUUAUUUAUGUAAAAAAUAAAGUAAAUAAAAAUUGAGGGACAGAUUGAAUAUAUGCAUAUGAAGUAGUUGCGUUCUGAACCAUUUCCAUCUCUAGUCUCUCCAUCCCACUGUAUCAAGCUCUCUUCUCUUUUUCAACACUUAUAAGUAAACCUGAAAUAAGAGCCUUCAAACUUUUCAAUAUGAACUAUUAUACAUUGGUAGGUUUUGCUGCCAUUCAAACUUCAUCUUCAUGUCAUUACUACCAUUCAAAUUGUAAAUGGAACUUUCUUCUUAGACAAGGUAUCAAAGCAAUUUCCCUCAAGGUCAAGAGAAAUAAAGUUCCAAAUACUAGACAAAUUACCAUGCUUGACCAUUCUUCUUGAUGGAUAAAUUAAUAUGCAAAAUUUCUUUUUUUCCAUAAUAUGGAGUAAAAAAAUAUGAGUUUUUUUGUUGAUAAUGCUAAAAAGAUGAGCUUGGAAUACCAAGCAAGAGAAAAUAUUUAAGAAUAAGUGGGUAACAGGCAAUAUAUGAAAAAUGAGAGGAGAGUGGUUAAUUUAAAUUCGCUGUUUAUGGAUCGAAUUGAAUGUAAAUUUGUUGUUAAUUCGUAACUAAACAGAUUAAUAACAGAUUUUUUAUCGAUUAGUAAGGAAAAAAUUUACUAGAAAGAUCUUGUAGUGCUAUACAACGGUAAUGCAAAGGAAUAACGGCGAAUUGCUGGUCUUCUUCAUUAAUUUGUAAUUUACAUAAAUUGCAUCAUUAAAUAUUUUUUUUAUAAGUAAUUAAUCAAAUACUUAUUUCUUAUAAUAAGUUUUUUUAAAAAAAGAACUUCUAAAUAUGUCAAUCUCUGUAUAUUUUCGAAUAUUUAUUUCUCUCCUUUUCUGUAUGUAUACGAAUGGCUACCGAUUUAUUCUCAAUAAGCAUGUUGGUUGUUUUUUGGGACAUUUUAUUUAAAUAUAAUACUUUUAUAUGUCACUUAUUUUGUACCGCAUGUUAUUAUUCACGAGAAAUUAUUUUAUUUUAAAUAAUAUUUGAUGACCGCUGGAUUUUUUCACCCCGGUCUAAGACCAGACCCAUUAGGACAGUCUAUACUCUGAAGGCUUCUAAGUCUCCUCCAAGAGUCAGGUCCAGCCCACUCAGCUUAAAGACCGGGCUCCAGUCAGAUUCUUCAAUCAGGCCGGCCCAGCUCUUUCGGCCCAAUGAACAGAUCCCCUUUGAGCCUAGUCUUAACUUUAUCUUCCGACCCAACUCGGAACCAGGAAGGAAUUCAUCCCAUUUGUCCCUCCGCAUGUGUGCCCGGGGAGAAUCAGGGGCCGUUACGCAUGGGGCAGAGAUCUGAUUUUCUCGUACGUCCGUAUCAACGUGGUAGAGACAGGUGGCCCAGUGAUAGCCAGUUUGUUAUACGUCAUUAGCAGACGGAGGAAAGAGAAAAAGUGGAGAUACUUCCCUCUAGGUCUAAGUUUUUCUCAAGCUUAGAGAACCCUUGUAAAACCCUAUUUUUCUGGAUCUCAAAUCAUCAAUUGGCGCCGUCUGUGGGGACAUAACCUGGUCCUCAUGAGUACGGUGCGCUGAGCGAGCACGCUCAAGCCUGUAUAGGGGAGAAAGAACCCUACACAGGUGGAUCAUAGGUAUCCCACAUCGGAAAGAGGUUGAAAGGGAGAAGGCCCUAUAAGUCUCUACCCUUGAAACCCCAGUGGACGCGUUUUAAGCAAAACCGUGCGGCCUUGAGCCAAAGCGGACAAUAUUCAUUGGUGUGGACUCAGGAUCCAAAUGACUCAACGUCAUCAAAUGGCGUCGUCUGUGGGAACAUAACCUGGUCCUCAUGAGUACGGUGCGCUGAGCGAGCACGCUCAGGCCUGUAUGGGGAGAAAGAACCCUACGCAGGUGGAUCAUAGGUAUCCCACAUCGGAAAGAGGUUGAAAGGGAGAAGGCCUUAUAAGUCUAUGCCCUUGAAACCCCAAUGGACGCGUUUUAAGCAAAACCGUGCGGCCUUAAGACAAAGCAGACAAUAUUCAUCGGUGUGGACCCAGGACCUAAAUGACUCAACGUCAUCAAUAUUUAUACUAAAUUUAAUUUUUUACCAUUAUUAUCAUUUAUAUCUUAAUUUUUUAUUUAUCUUAUUAUUUGUAAUAACUAUUUCUCAAAAUCUUAUAGCUUUUCUAAUUAAUUUGUUAUUUAAAAAUUAUUGUAUUAUUUUUCUUAUAAUAUAUAGCUAAUUAACUUAACACUUUUUCCUUUAAAAUUAGUAACAUAUAUUAGCAUCUAUCUGUUUAUAUAUAAUAUAAACAUGUUUUUGUUUUGUUUUACUAUUAUAAAAAUUAAUAAACCACAAUAAUAAUGUAUUUAAUAUAUAUUAUUUUAAAUAAGUAAUAAUAAUUAUGUUAUUAUUAUUAUAAUUUUAAAUAAGAAUAAUAAUGUAACAGCUGAUUAAUAACAUAAAAGUUUAUAUAGGACAAAAAAUUUUGAUUUCACAAUUUAUUCAAAACAAUAUUAAAUGAAUUUUUUAAAAAAAUCCAAGUUGAAUUUUAUAUGUUAAAAUUAAAAUUUUAAAUAAUAAUCUAUAAAAAUAUAAAUAUUAAUACUACAUAACACUCACUCAAAAUAAAUAAUAAAGUAUUAUUAUAACACAAGUCACAUGACGUAAGUCAUAAAUUGAUAUAAGAAAUUCUUAUCUAAAAGAGGAUCAAAACACUAUAAUACUUGAUGUUCCGCCAAAUUCACCCCUUCUCGAGUUUUAUAUAAAAAUGUAUAGUUAGCGGAUAUAUUUAAUAAAUUUUCGUUACACUUAAAAUUGCGGAAUUCUUUAUCAGCUCUUCAGUAUCAGUUAGAUUUCUAAGAGAUUAAUAACUAAUUCUAUCUUCUUACAGUAGAAAAUUAAAAAUACACAAAAUUCAAUAUAUGCAUUUUUACAUACUCGUUCUAAAUUCAAAAUAAUUUAUUACAUUCGUUUAUUUUAAUAAAUAACUGAUUUGAAUAUUAAAGUGGUUGUAGUUAAACGUUAACCACUUUAUUUUUUCUCCUUUACAAAUUGAUGAAUCACAAUUUAAUUAUAUUUUCAGUCACAUAAGUAUUUCCUUAAUCAUAAAUCAUAACAAGUUAACAGCAUAUCUUCUUUUAAUUCCAAUUAAUGACUAUGAGAUAAGUUGAAAUUUCUGUUUUAAUUUGGAUUGAAAGUUAAAAAUCAUGAACAUUAAACAUAUACUAGAAUUUUCAGUAAAAAAUGCUAGAAUUUGGGCAAUCAUUUUAAUUUUAAAUUGCAAAAUGAUAAUUUAUAUUGAUAAAAUUGAAGUGAUGGGACCCAAAGAGAUGACGUACAUUGCAUACAUAUACAUGAACAAUGUGUUGUGGAAACAAAGAAUAGAUAGACACAUAGAUUUCCCCAACCAAUUUUAAGGAAUUGAAGUAGGGUUUGAAAGAUUCCUAGACGUUACAAACUAUAAAAUUGUAUUCAUAUAACAACCUUAACCUUUUUUUUUUUUUUUUUUUGGGGUAUUUUUUGGAUUUGCCUUGCUUUGUGCAUAAGUUAUGAUAAAGGCAUAUAUGCAGGUGGCUAGUGAAGAUUUUAUGAGGCAUUAUCUAAUAGAUACCUACUCUAACUCUGCCACCUUCUUCUCCAUGCACGUAGCCUUUUUAUCUUCACGUUAUUUUCACUUGUUUUUUAUUAUUGGAUUUUUCUUUUGUCUAUCCCAAGCUUCAUGUACCAGCUCUCACCCAUUCUCAGGUGCACCAGUUACUCAAGUUAGCUGUAUUUUGCAAGUUGAUUUAUUUUUGUAUAUAUUAAUUAAGGAUUGGUAUUUUAAAUAAAAUAGAAUACAAAAUUUUAAAUAAGAUAAAAUAUUAAAUUUAUUAUAUAAAAAAGAUAACAAAAUGAUGCAAACCUCAAAAGGUUUGCUUUGAUUCGCAAUGCAUAAAGUGAUAUUUACACCAAUAAAGCUUAAAGUUAGAUCGUAAUAUUAAACUUUCUUGACGAGUCAUAUGAAGAUAUAGUAGUUCGAAUAAAUUAAAUUAUUUAAAAUUAAAAUUUUGUAAAAUUUUAAUUUAAUUAAUUUUUUAUUUAAAAUAAAAUAAUUUAAAAUUUUUAAUUUAAGAAAAGAAUAAAAAUCAUGUAAGAUUAUAUAAAAAUUUAUUUAAAUUUUUUAUUUUUUUAAAUUAAUAAUAUCAAAUUUAUAAAUCUUACAAGAAGGAAAUCUUGACAAAAAAUGGAAAAUUAUAAGCGAAACGUCUCACACAAUUUGUUUUCUAACAAAAUAUUUGCUAACAUAGGGCUAGCCAUUCGAUUAUCAAAUCGAAAAUUCAAAAUUUUAGUAUUUAUGAAAAUCGAACCAAAUUGAUUUUAAUUAAAAAUCAAAUUGAAUCGGUCUGAUUCGGUUUGAUUUGAUCGAUUUAAAUUUUUAAUAAUUUUUUUUAUUUUUUACACUUUAUUUUUAAUAUUUUAAAUUUUAAUUGAAAUAUUUUAAUUUUAAUAUAAUUAAAAAUAAUAUACUAUUAUCAUUAAUCAAUUCGAUUCGUUUUUAAUUUUUUUCUGAUUAAACUCGAACUGAAUCGAAAUAACGAAAUCGAAAUAAUAAAAUUUUUAAAAUUAAAAAUUAAAUAGAAUCGAAUCGAAAUAAAUAAAAAACUAAAUUAAAAUUUUAAAUUAAUUCAGUUCAAUUUGAAUCGAAUAUUUUUCGUUCGGCAUAAGAUAAAAAAAAAACCCUAAAAAGGAAGAAAUAUUAAGAGAAAUUAAAUUUGCUAUAAAUUAUAAAAUAACAAACAUGUGUGAGAAAUAACACAAAAUGAGAUAGAGAUAUACAUACGCAUAAUCCAUCCUCGGCCGUCAUUCAACUUUCCACGUAUAUAUACAUAAAAUACUCUAAUGGAUUGAGUAUCUUAUAGGUCUUUUAUUAUUAUUAUUGAGUUGUUUUUUAUGCAUGAGUUUUUUUGAAAAAUUAUUAAAUUAUAAUUUUUAAUAUAAGAAAAAAACUCAACAUGCAUGAUAACUUUAUUUCCUGGGUAUAGGAAAUUAAAUCACUCAAAUAUAUUUUAUUUUAAUUAUAAGAUUUUUACUAUAAAUAUUUCUUCAAAAUUUUUAUAUGAUAACAAAGUAAACUUUUGUGUAUUCUAAUUUAACGGUAAUUAAAAUAAAUUAUAUAAAUUUCUUAUUUCAUCAACCCAAUUGAAAAUGUUAACUACCUUGCAUGAUAUUCAAAGGGUUUGUUAUUAUUAUUAUUAUUAUUAUUAUUAUUAUUUUUGUGACAGUUUUGAGCCUCAGGCUCUAUGAAAAUCUUGUGUUCUAGGUAUGCAAUAACCAAUGGGAAACUGUGCAAAAUGACAAAGUGGAGGAACAAUAUAAGGACAAGUAAACAGGUAUAACAAUAUAAAGACAAAAUAUAUAAAGACCAAAAGCCCUAUCCUAUGCAAUAAAGGUCCUGAAGAGAAGGAGCUCUCUUCAGCAAUUUUUGGCCUUAAGAUAAUUGCAGACAAAUUGGAAAAACAAAUAAUUACUCUCUCUCUCUCUCUCUUUCUAAGAUGAUUAGAUAUAUAUGAAAAGGUGACGUGAAUUAUAUUACUUAAAAUGCCUUUUAGAGAGCUUUAUAAGACAUUAGAUGCAUAAAUCAAAGGACAACCUACGAAUCAGAGUUCCUUGUUCACUCUCCAUCCUUAGAACCUGUAAUUAUUAUCAAAAAAAAAAAAAACUAAUAGCUUGGAGACUUAGCUGUGAGAAUUUUCAUUCAAAGUGAUUGACAGCUAUUUCCAUCUCUUAGUCUACCACCGUUCCCCCCCUCCUCCACCUCCUCCUCCUUCUUAUACAAGGAUUUAUUGAGAUGUGGGCCAGAUUUAGAGUUGCAAAGAUCAGAAAAGGUAUGUCAUAAAUGAACAUCUCUUUUCAUUUUAAUAAUACCCAUGAACAAAUUUAUUAAUUAAUUAACAUGUUUUGUUGCUUUAUCUGCAAAAUGUGAUUUUGGAGAUAUUUUCCUGUCAAUUUUCAGAUGAGAAAGAACUGGGAGAUGUUGGUGAAAGCUUAAGCGUUAAUGAAGAAUAUGUUUGUGCAUUAAGAACACAAUCAUAUGCUGAUUUCUUUGCUAAAGCUCAAUCACUUGUAAACCAGCAGCCAUCAUUUCCAUCUUUCUGUCAUCACAAAUUCUCUCAAGUUCUUCUUGAACCAGAUCAAGAAACUAUUCCUGCAAUUCUUGAAUCUGCCAUUUUCUCCAAGAUCCCUGAACUCAAAGGCCUUAUGCUUAACUACUUUGAUUUAAGUGCUGAGGCUUCAAGAAUUUGCAGUCACCUCCUUAAAAACAUCAACCAAAUCCAAUCAAACCACCAAUAUAUUCAACAAGUACUCGAUACCACAGUCAAUUAUUACUCCCCUGAGAAGGCCAAACUCGCCGUUUCGGAGCUGAACUUGUUCAUCAGCCAAAGAAAUCCUUUUUCUACCCCUGACAAGAAUGACUUCAAGCAGAUUCAUGACAGAUAUUCAUCAGUAUUAAAUCAUCUAAGAUCCAAGAGAAAGAAACUGACAAGGAAGAUGAAGCUAAUCACAUGUAUCCACAAGGCAAGUGGGAUUUGCAUAACAGCAGCUGGUAGCUUAAUAGCAAUUACAGCAAUUGUUUUAGCAGCACACACACUUACUGCAAUAGUGAUGGGUCCAGCAAUCUUCAGCUUUCCACUAAAGGGCUUGAAGAAAAAAAUCCAGAGGUUCAGGUUCCUGAGAAACGGAUCAUUUCUCAGGAAAGCUGAGCAGCAACUUGAUGUUGCAGCUAAGGGAACUUAUAUACUGAACAGGGAUUUUGACAUAAUGAGUAGACUUGUUGCUAGACUGCAUGAUGAGGUUGAACACAACAGGGCAAUGAUUCAGCUGUGUUUGGAGAGCAGGGAAAAUAAAUUUUCCCUGGAAAUAGUGAAGGAGCUGAAGAAGAGUGAUAUUGGGUUCAGGAAGCAAGUAGCAGAGCUUGAAGAACAUGUUUAUCUUUGCCUUCUAACUAUUAAUAGAGCAAGAGGCUUAGUGAUUAAGGAACUGAAUAAUUCUGCAGGCAUUGGAAGUUUGAGAUAGCAUCAGUGAAUUAGUGCAUGAUUUUUAUGUACAGUGUAAUAAUCUGUUAUUUGUUUUGUAUAUAUACAAUUAAUUAAAUGUAAAGCUUCCCCAUAAUUAUUGUCUGAAAAAUGAAAAAUAAAGUCAUUUUAAAAAAAAAAAGAUUUAAUAUUUUUAUUGAUAAUUUUUCUAAAAAAUAUUUUUAAGCAAAUAAACAUUGCUUAAUUAGACACUUUUAUAACAACAAAUAUUUUCUUAAAUUCCUUAUUUGAAAUUAAAAAAAAUUAUGUUUUUACUAAAUUUUUUUUAUUUAAAAUGAAAAUAUUUAAUUUUUUAAUUUAUAAAAUUUUAUUUUAAAGAAAAUAAAAAUCAUACUUGAUUUUGUUAGGAAUUAAUUUGAAUUAUUUUCUUAUGAAAUAAAUUAUAUAGCAAAUGGGGGAAAAUAUUUUAAAAGUUUUAAUGUUUGAAUCCUCAAAAAAUUAAAUUAAAGAAAAUUGAAGGUCUUUUUUAUUUUUAGAAAUUUACUAGACUAUAUGCAUAUGUUCAACUUCACACUUUAAGAAAAUAAUCUACUUGAAGAAAAUUUACUAGAAGAAAAUAAUCUACAACUUCACACUUUCUUCUCUGGAAAGUUGGCAGCAACUUGAUGCGGUGGAAAAAGUCGGCAACAUUAUCAUAUCGUGUGCGAGAGAAUGCAACGGGCAGAAUAAAAAAAUUGAAAGAGAAAAAAGAAAGGAGGAGAAAAAGAGAGAGCCGAGAAAAGCAGCAUUUUUAGGGUAAAAUCAGAUUAACAUGCGUUUGGGGGUUUGUUCACCGCUGGAUCGCCCUUAAAUUCAGAAUUUCAGUUCCUGACAUCUGAUUCUUUAAAUGGAACGGUGGAGAUCAGAUUGAAGGUUUGUCGGUCUACAUCUCUCAUCCAUUUUUUCGUAUUUAACAUCUUUGUUGUUGAGAUUAAUUUGUGUAUCUGCGACAAGAACAUUACGAUGGGGUGCUUGUGACCGUAUUUAGUUUAAGUGGAGAUUUGAUGUAGAAUCCGGUUUUCCUCUUUGAUUUGAAGUGGUUUUCCUGUUACAUGUUCUUGUAUUCUUGGUAGACUUGAUUUGGUUGUGUUUUGAGCAAUUUGAUGUUGAAGUUUGUUGCUCAAAUUUUGAUGGAUUCGCAAUAAAUUGGUGCUGGGCUCGUAGACAAUUUGGGAUUAUAUGGUUGAUCUUGUGUUGAUAACCCCCAAUAGAAGUGAUAUCAGAGCAGUGGAAUUUUUUAUUAACUUACGCAUUCUAGAAAUGGUGGGGAGAGUGAAUAAAAUGAUUUGUUUGAGUGAUUCAAAUUACUACCUUUGGAAGUGCAAAAUGAGUGAUUUAUUAUUUGUGAAGUCAUUGCAUCUGCCUGUGUUUGCUACUCAAAAGCCUGAUUUUAAAAGUGAUGAAGACUGGGAAUUUGAGCAUGAACAAGUAUGCGAGUAUAUUAGGCAAUUUGUUGAUGAAAAUAUUUACAAAAAUAUUAGCACUGAAAAAAAAUGCAAAAGCAUUGUGGAAAAAGCUUGAAUUGUUGUAUGCUUCAAUGGAAGUAAUAAGUUAUUUUUAGUGACGAAAUUGAUUCCAGUUAAAAUAUAAAGAAGGGAGUUCUAUGGCUGACCACUUGAAUGAGUUUCAAGGAAAUAUAAAUCAGUUGGCUGCUGUGGGUAUGAAAUUUGAUGAUGAAGUUCUUGGCUUAUGGUUGCUGAGUACUUUACCUGAUUCUUGGGAGACAUUUAGAUUCUCACUUGCUAAUUCAACUCCUAAUGGAGUUAUCUCCUUUGAAGUUGCUAAAAGAGGUGUCUUAAAUGAAGAAAUAAGAAGAAAGACUCAAGGUUCUUCACCUCAAUAUGAGUUUCUAGUCACAGAAAAUAGGGGGAGAAGUAAGCAGAAAGCUCAAGAAGGUAGAGAUAAAAGUCGGAGCAAGUCAAGAUCGAGAUACAAGAAUGUCGAGUGUUAUUACUGUGGCAAGAUGGAUCAUAUACAAAAAAAUUGCUUCAAAUGGAAAAAGGAAAAUAAGGGUGACGGUGCUAAACAAGAAAGAAAAGAUUGAAAAAAGACAAACUGGGUUGUUACUGCUGCCAUUAAUGAUCUCUAGGCUGAGUUUGAAACAAUGUCCUUCUACAGAUGAAGAGAAUGAAAACGUGAAGAAAGUUCCUUGUAAAUAUUAUUUUAUGGAAAAUUUAAAAUUAUAGAAAAAAAUAUAAAAAAAUGAACUAGAUAUCCAUAACAAAAAAGUUAUAAAUAUUAUUUUAAUAAAUUCAUGAUAUAUCAUUUGAACUUAUAUAUAUAUAUAUAUAUAUACUGCAUUUGAAUUUGAAAUUUUUAAUUUAAAAUCUUAUUCUUUUAAUUAUAUCAUUUGGCAAUUCUUAAAUACCUUCGGGGAGAGAAAAACACAUUUACAUAGAUUAGAUAUAGCUUUACAUAGUAAAAUAAUUUUUAAGCCUUAGCUUCAAUAUAAAUAUAUAUAGCCACAGAUAUACGGAUAGAUUAUUAUCAAAACUUUAACCCUUAGCUUCCAAUUUGUAAUUUUCACCGUAUGCUAAAUUAAUACAAAAAUUUUAAUUUAGGUUAAAAUUGACACAAAAAAAAAUCGACUAUAAUUAAAAAAAAAAAAAAUUUUUUUACUAUUAAGCCUAAAGAUAAUUAUAAAAUCAUAAAUUUAGUAAAAUAAUAAAUUUUACUUAAUAUUAUAUAAUAGUAAUUAACAAUAACUAAUAAAAUAUAGCUAAAAUACAUUGAAUUUGAAAUUUAGUGCUCCAUGUAGUUAAAAAAUAUCAAGUUUAAAUAUUAAAUAUAAAAUAUAUUUAAAAUUUGAAUAAGAAAAUUUUACACUAUUAUUAACAGUCAGUCUAGUUCGAAUUCAGAAUAAUUUUGAAUAAUUCAAUUAUUAAAUUUAUUUAAAUAAUUUAUCUAUUAAAUUUUAGAGUGCAAGUAGUAUAUAUAAAAAAGAUAUAGCUAAAAAACAGAAAUAAGAAGCAUUAGUCACUUAGUUAUAAAUGGUAUUUUUUAUUAAUUAUAUCCUUAAUUUCGAUUGAAAAAUUUAUUUUUAAAUUAUAAUUUAUAAAUAUAGAUCUAUAAUAAUUUUUUUUUAAAACUUGGUUAUUUAAGUUUAAGAAGUUAAAAAAAGUCCCAUAAUGAUUAUUAUUGGAAAACGUAAAAAUUAGAGAAGAGUUAGAGAAAAAAGAAAAAGGUAAAAAGAGAAUAAAAUCUAAGUUUUGUUGGGACGGCCUUCAAGUCUCCCUUCCAUCUAAUUGUUACUUUGCUUUUAGUCUUUUUUUUUUUUUUUUUUUUUUUUUUUUUUUAUUUAUCGUAACUUGUUAGUGUGUUUACUGUGGUAGUUUUUAUCUGUGGUAGUUUUGGAUUUGUGAGUUUUGCAUGUAGGUGUACUCGAUCUACUCCAAGGAGGGUUUUUAAGUGCUGACAUCGAUAUCUUGGGAUCGCAUCGCUACGUUCGGCAAAUUCUGUUGCGUCCUCUCUCUCAAUGGUGGUCACUCUGUCGGAGGUCUAGGCCUUUCUUAUCUUGUUUUGGAUUUUGGUGGAUGGCAGAGGGUCGAUCUUGAUUGAUUUAUUAUUGGUUCAGUUGUAGUGUUGGGCUCUUUUCUUCGACUCAUCUGGUAGCUGCCCUUAUACUCUUGUGUGGAUUAUUCUUUAGAGAUAUACAUGGAGUUUUUGCCUUGUUUUCAUCGCUUUCUUUCUCUGUUUUCUCCCGUUGUGGUUGUGGCUGUGGUAAAGGAAUGGUUAGACUGAUCUUUCUGUUGAUUUUGAGUUAGAUAUUUAUUGUUGAGUUUGUAUAUUUUAUUUGGCUCUUUGAGCCUUUUAAUGCAACACUCUUACAUGGUAAAAAAAUUAUUACUAAUAAUAAAAUUAAUAAAUUUUAUUUUAUUUAUAUUAACUAUUAAUAAUAAUGGCAAAAAAUCUGUACUUACUAGUUUUGAAAGUUCUACUCAAAAUCAUAAACUUCUAUAUAUUAAUUAAGAAGCUAAACUUGUAUAUAUGAUUAAUUAAGCUAUAAGUUUUUUUUCUCCUUCAUCCUUUGACAUGGUCUCAAACUUUUUUUAAAAGAAUUUUAUAAAUUUUUGUGAACGUAAUCUUUAAAAUAAGUAAACAACUUUUUCAACUAUUUUUUCAAUAAUAUUUGAUAACCGAAAACAGAUUAGAUUUAGUUUUUUUUUUUGGCAAUUGAUAUUUUUUCUUUUUUAUUUAGCCACUUUUGUUUUUUUCCAUGGUGUACAAAUAUUUUAUUUUGUUUAUUUUCCCAACAAAAAUUUUCGUAUAGUGUUGUGUCUUUUUUGUACAGUGUAUUAAAUGCUACUCAUAGAUUAAUUCAACGUAUGUUUUUGAAAGAAACAAUUGUUAUAUGGCCCUUUCUUUAAGCUAAUAUUCCAUCCAUUAUAUUUAGACAUAUGUUUCUGACAGUCACAAUAUAGCCCAUCAUACCAUCAUAUUGAUGGUCCUCGGUUCCGGACUAAUUUUGUUGGUCAGGAAGAUAGGUUGGGUUCUUCUAGUUUUCUUAUGACGUCUAGUAAUAUCCUCAAAUCCAUAAUUAGGAAUAAUAACAUCAUUCGGUAUGAAUUAGGCUAUUUCACUAUUAGAGCAAAUGACAUUAGGGGAGGUGCUAGUUUAUCUAAGUUAUUUAGGGGAGCUACUAGCAUAACUCUAAACUGCUAAUAAUUGAAUCAUAAAAAACUUAAAUAAAGAAACGACAUAUCCAAAAAUAAAGCAGACAGUGUGAUUAGCAAGACGAAAAUGAGUCACUUUCGAAAGGUGUUGAGGGUUUUUCGAUGUGCUCACUUGAGGUGGUUGUUAAAAUCUGACAUGCUUAACUAAGUGAAAAUGAUUUGUAAAGGCUAAAAGCAUAAUUUAGUAGGUCAAUUUAUGAAUAUUGAAAAAUUGAAAACUAAAUUGAAACAUGGUAAAGAGUUUAGUAGGUUAAAGUGUGAAUAUAGAAAGUUUAAAAGUAAAAUUCAAUUUUAGUCCUCUAUUUUCUAUUUCUUUAUCUAAACCCUCCAUGUGUUACCUAACUAAGUAUGAAAGAAAUGACAAAGCAAAAUGAAAAAUGAGUUGUUUUCUUCCACCCACCUUAUGGCCGAAACUUAUACCAUUUGAAAACAAAAAUCUUGUUUUUUUUUUCUUUCACCAAAUCCAAGCUAAUCUCUUAUCAAAUCAACUUCUUUCUUUAACAAAAAUUCAUCCUAAGAUCAAAAGCUAAAGAAAGAGCCAUAUAUUGAAAGAAUUGAAGAAGAAAAGUUUAGGGUUCUGUAUGUAUCAAGCUUGAAAAUCAAAGGUGAGUUUAGAAAUGUGUAGGAAAUAGAAUCUUCUCAUUUUUUUUAUGCAUGAAUUUGAAUUAUAAAGUUUUAAUUUUCAAUUUAUCCAAUCCUUCCCUAAAAUAUAAAUUGACCUAGGCGAAGGAACAUCAAAGGAAAAGGAACAUUAAAGGAAAAGGAGAUAGUUAGAAAGUAGAAGUGGAAAAGAAAGAGAAAUUCAAGAAAUGUUUAGUAUUUGUAUGAUUUUUCUGUUUUCUCAUGAAUAUGUGAAAUUAGGGAUUGAUUUUACUUGCUGGAAAUAUUGCUUUGAUUGUAUAAGUAUGUAAUAAGAAUAUUGGAAUAAUGUUUGAAAGGCUUAAAAAAAAAAGAAAUUUAACAUGGGAGUUAAAAGUGCAAACCUGGCAGGAUAGGCUUUAACAUAGCAACAUGUGUUAGCAGUUUCAUAACUCAUUGUGUAAUUAUUAAAACUAGGCCUAAAAUAUACCAAAUGAAAGCAGAGACAGAGCUAAAAUUUUCAUGAAUUGAUCAAAUUUUAAAUCUAUACGUAAGAUGAUGUAAAUUGUAAGCGAUUUUAAACUAGACACAGUGAUAGAGCAUCCGAAAUAUACUGUAUUGAUUAUACCAUAACUUAUUAUGUACUUAAUGAAAUUAGUUAAAACUAGGGCAAAAUGAAUCUUAAGAAGUUUACCUGAAAUUUUAUAUAAGAUACUUAAACUUGAAUUUGUAUGAAAAUGUAUGCAUCUGAUAUGUUUUUUGAUACUAUAAAUAAGUACCAAUACUUCACUUAUUAAGAUCUUAUUGAGCAGUUUGUAAAAAAAAAAUUUAUAACUUAAGGUGAUCAGAUUUGCAUAAAUUAUAUCUUGUUGGAAAGAUAAGACAUAAAUACACAUUUGUUAUGAAUAAAUUUAAGUCAAUUUAUAAUUUUAAAGUACUUAAAAAGUUAAUGCAAAAUUUGAUAGAAUGCAGUUUUUUUGAAUUGAAAUGCAUAAAAUUGACAUGUUUACUUAAUUGGUAAGAACUAUGGACGUACUUGCUUAUCGUACUUGAUUUUCUCACGUGCUUACUUGAUAAUAAAACUUAUUUAUGCAUGAUAAUUUGAGUAAACUUGUCAUUCUUUACUUGUUAGUGGUAUGAAAUGUAAGAAGUGAAUUGACUUAACGCACUAUUGGAAUGCUAAGUCGACAAAGUUUUGCACUAUUGCCAUGAGUUUCUUAUCUUCUUAAUCUUGACAUAUGAUAUAUGUACUUUAAAAAUAAUUUCAAAUAACUUCAAAUGACAUGCAUUUAUGUUGAAUAAUUGAUACAUUGAAUUAAUGAUACUUAACCCUGUUAAACUUAAUAGGAGUCGAGGUUAGUUUAAGGGUAUAACAUGCCAUAUAAAUAUAUAGAAUUUUGCAGUAUUGCUACUGAUACAUAUAUAUAUUUGAGAUUACAUAUCAAGUAACUCAUAAGCAUUACUUGCUAUCACAGUUUUGGUCUCUGAGCCUACCGUUUGGCACUCUGUGUCUAUCGUUAUAACUCCUUAUCUAUCUACUCGACCAUACUAUGUAUUUAUAAGGACUGAGAACCUAAUUAGGAUUGAUACUCGAUUUUUUUUGUGAAAUUAUCAGUGAAUGUUAACAUGUUUACAUUUAUUGCAUGCAUAAAGUUAUGGUGAUUUACUAUAAAUAUAAAAUAUGCAAUAGUGACAAAAGAAGAUAUUUUAUUGAAUCUAAAGAAAGUUCUUGGUGUGCAUAUGGAUACAUACGACACUCAUAUCUUAUACAAAAAAAUUUGACAAGUAUGAUUUGUAUCAUGUUGACUGCAUUUGAUAAUGCUUGUAAUUGUUUACUUAAUUAUCUAUAUAUAUGAAUUUGUUUACUUAAUUAGAAUAUAUUUACUCUAUUUUGUUAUUUGCUUAUAUCACAUACUAAGUAUUAGUUCAACGUGUUAGUUUCAUACAGGUUGUAAAUAAAGUAAUCAUUAUAGUGGUUGUCAGAGAUCAAUAGCAGACAUCAAAACCAUUAUCAUAGCGGGUUGUUUUGAGUUUUUGAGUCAUUGUACAGUGAUAUUUUGACAUAUACAUAUUAAAUAAAAUGGGUUAUGAAUGCUAUCUAAGUUAAAAUAAUGUAAUCAUGUAGGGAUAAAGAAAAAGAGCUAAACGUCUGCAUGUGAUGAUACUCAUAGAAAAAUAAGGGAUAAAAUUAUUAUGAAAUAUGUGCUAAAUUAAUAAAUAGCAAGAUGCCAAAUGACAGUUGAUAGUAUAAUUAUAAAUUUUUUUUAAUAUAUACUACAGGUUGAAAUACUAAUAAAAUAAAGGAAAUUCUAUUAAAAUUUUAAUUUAAAAUCUCACAUAUACUUUAUUCACUUUAUGAAAUUUACAUGAACUAAUAAUUUGGUAAUUAGAUAUAAAGGAAAUGGUUUAAUUUUGAAAUAUUUAAGAAAGUAUAAUUUAUGAUAAUUCUUACUAUAUUUACACUUUGAUAAGGAAUGUUAUAUGUCUACUUGGACCUGUGUCACUCAUAAUUUUCAAUCCAUAACGGCUCAGUUCAAUAUCAAGUGAACCUUAAUCGGCUUAUUAAAGCAUAAUCCCUUUUUAUAUUAAUAUUUAAAAAUAUACUUUAAAAAAAACUAUAUUUCAGCCUCCACAUCUUAAUAACAAAUGAGACUUAAUAUAUGAUAGUAAUUUAUUUUACCUAUUUUUUCAAACUGGUGGAACUCUUUUUUUCAAAAAAUGAAAGUGAAAUAUGACUUUUGAGAAUACAAAAAUAUAUUUAAAAAAUAUUUAUCAAUUAGUUUAUUUUAUCAUUACUUAAUUUUGUUUUAUAGAUUAAGAUAAUAAUAAUAAUAACAAUUCCUUAAACAAAUUAGUAACAAUUUGGUUAAACUUUUUUUUUACCUAUUUUAAUAUUGGGUUAAAUUUAACUAUUAAUUAAUAGUCCUUCAAUUUCAUAAUUUUUUAUUAUUUUUUAGUUAUCUUAGUCUAUUUUUUUAUAUUAUAAUAAUUAUAAAUCGACUACUAUAAUUUUAUUUACUUUAUUUUAUUUUUAAAGUAUUUUUUAAUAUUUAAUAAAAAUUAUUUUUUUAAAUAAAUAUAAUUAAAAAAUUAAUAAAAAUUAUUUUUUAAAUAUAUAUAAAAAAUAAAAUAGAUAAAAAUUAUGUGAAAAAAAUAUUAUAUAUUUAUUCAAUAUAGUAUUUAAUAUUUUCCAUGUUUGAGUUUUCUUGUUUGUAAGGAAUAAAUUCUACCAUUCAUAAUUCAGAAAAAAAUUGAAUUUUUACUUACGUGAUAGUUUUGAGUGUAUAGGAUAAUUUGCUUAAAAACAUAAUGAUUUGAAUUUAUUAAAAAAUUAAUUAAUUCAUGAAUUUUAAAAAAUAGGACCUAAACAUUGAUUCCUUUUUCAAAAAUUAAUGAUGUCAUUUAAGAGAAAAUCCACUUACUAGCAGUUAAAAAAACAAAAAGACACAAUUUAACUAACCAAACUUCCACUGCCAAGUCGCCCACUUUUCUUACACCGCACUUUGGUCUCUUUUCCCGAAAUCAUCGUCGCCAGCGGCCAGACCAUGAGGCGUUUGCCAUCGGCGCGAACCACCGGCGGUUUAGGGGUGGCAGCGAUGUCCUACGUGGCGGUGGAUUACCUGCGCCACCUAUCCCCAACUUGGCACGAGCGUCUACAGCCAGUACUUUGGUCUGUACUAGCUCUAAUCGCCAUUUCUCGGGUCCCUGUCUACAGGCACUGGUCCUCCGAGGUUCGAGCUGCCAUCCCAUUUGUUGCUUCCAUGUUCUUUAUGCUCGCCUCUCUUCUCUUCGAGGCCUUAUGUGUGCGCUUCGCCACCGCCGUGCUUGGCCUGGAUUGGCACCGGUAAUUGCUUUGCCAUUUUCUUUUGUGCUAUAGUUUUUUGAGUUGAAACUGGAGCAACCCAGAUGGUGAAUGCGGUGUUACAUGUGGUGGGGUUGCUUUAUUUUUUUGUUUUUCUGGGUAUAUCAUGUGGGUCGAGUUUGAUUUGUGUUACUUUCUGUUCAUUUGAUUUAGAAGUGGGUCAAGUUUGGUUCUUCUUCAGAUUUCAUUUUCUGUAUACUUUCUGGGUUGUGCAAAGUCUGCGACUAGUUUGAAGUAGUUUAGAUCCCGUUUUCUUUGUCCUGUUCAACAUCGAUGUUUAAUGUUUACUUGGGUCUGUUUUCUUUGCAUUAUACCAAGUUACUGAUUUGGAAUCUUAUUGAGUUUCAGUGAGAUUUGAUCUUUAUUGAUUUUAGUAUCCUGGGAUAUAAAUGUGAGUUAAUGUUUACAAGAUACUGUUGAAUCUAAAGUUCUUAAGGUUGCUAGUACAGUAAAUCCCGAUCUAUCUCUUGCUCCGUGUUUUUCUGAGCUAGAAUGCUUUUAAUUGGUCAAUCUGCACCAUAUGACUACUCCAGUUAAGAAUUAAUUUUGCUUGAUUGAGUGGAAGAUUUGAGUAAAUUCUUCCAGAAUUUUUUUCCCAGAAUGUCUUAAGGUUUUGUUCAGAUUGCUUUGUUUCAUUAAAUUUUCAGACUUGCAAAUCAUAAAUAUAAAUUUAUUUUGUAAUUCUAAAAAUUUUAUCCAAAGACCAAGUUCACAUUUGAAACAAGCAUAAAAUUAUGAGUUAGGAUCUUAGGCGAAAUUUUCAUUAAUUCUAUCAGAGGUCAUACAACACAGUAAACUUUUCAUGGGAUGUGGUUUGUUCAAAUUUUGUUGGUAUGGUUGUCCAACAUACUUGCUAUAAAUUAUAGCUGAACUCAGUCUUGUAGACUCAGUUAUUGAAAGUACAUGCAGAAUAGAUAUUCCAUGAAGAAUCAUGCUCUAAAUCCUGAAAAAUUAGAAUGUUGUUCUCUUAGUCAAAAUCUCCACUAGUUGUCCAGUGAUUCCAAAUUUAUCAUGACUUAGAUUUAAAUAAAAGGAUAUAAUGUGCCUCUGAUUUACAUUUGUAUAAGUUGAUAUAUUCCUUUCUCUUGCAGGAAGUUUCAUGCUGCGAGUAUAUUUAACCUCCUAUAACUAUUUUAUUUUUUUUUACAUAUUGUCAAUUAUUGUUAACGGGACUAUUGAUUGGCUUGGUAAUGUUGAACAGUGAUACAUCUCCUCUUCCUGACACGGGCCAGUGGUUGCUCCUCUCACUGAAUGAGAAACUUCCUGAACCAUUGGUUGGGAUACUGAGGGCUCGUAUUAUUGGACUGCACCAUUUCCUGAUGUUAUUUAUGAUGCUGGCUUUCUCUGUGCUAUUUGACUCUGUAGAAGGCCCUGGUCUUGGACUAGGAGCAAGGUACAUGUUCACCAUGGGAAUUGGCCGUUUACUUCGGGCCAUUACUUUUGUGUCGACUAUCCUUCCAUCGGCCCGGCCUUGGUGUGCUGCAGCUCGGUUUUCAGUUCCAACAUACCCUCAUCAUUGGGCUCAAAAGUAUUAUGUCCCUUAUGCCUCUGAUGCUCAUGCUAUUCGUCAGAUAAUACAAUGGGAUAUAGCUUAUGGUAAGUUAAAUUAUUAUGGACAUCUGUUUUAUCUUCUUAAUUUUUUGUUUUAUAUUUGAACCCAAAGAUUACAUUUUCUUGUUAGGUUGAAUUUCCAAUUGUUCCUCAUGAAGCUUUUGAAUUUUUCAGUGCUUUUUAAUGGGAUUCAUGUCCAAGCUACAUUUGUUAUGAUGAGGUGCUAGUGAGGACUUUUGUCCUACUGUCAUAAAGUUGGUUAUUUAGAGAUUUGAGAUUUUUUAUCACUGUGUUCUGAUAAUUUAUUCUUUUGGAUGCUUCAAUUUAUAGAUUAGGCAAAACCCAUUGUAGAGGCACCCAUUAAGAUUUAGAAAGGUUUACGAUGAUGGGACUUAAAUUUUUGUUAAUAUAAUGAAGCCGCUUUCGAUUCUUCCUUGGACUUGUGCUCUGUUCUCCUUUGUUAGCUAUUCUUUGACUAACUACAGAAGAGAUCCUUCAAGCUCAAAAUAUUGUAUUCACGUCUUUUCUGCAAUUUUCCAGCUGACACGGGGGAGUACCAGGGUGAUUACCGUCCGGAUUGGGGUUCAAUGAGUUUCCUUAUAGAUUUCUUGCGACCAACUACACAAGGAUCAUGGUACAGUCUUCUGAAGAAAGCUGGAGGUGGCUGCAAUGACCUCAUUUACAGUGGUCACAUGCUUGUUGCCGUACUAACAGCUAUGGCUUGGACGGUAAAUUUGUAGCAACAGAACUGCAUUCUGCAAUCAUCUAAUGAGCAUUACUCAAAGUUUGUAACGCCUAAUAGUUUCUCGCGUCUCACUGCUGCAGGAAGCUUAUGGAGGUUUUAGCUCAGCUUUCAUAUGGCUGCUUGUAUUACACAGUGCACAAAGAGAAAUACGAGAACGACAUCAUUAUACUGUAGACUGCAUUGUGGCCAUAUAUGUAGGUAUCCUUCUGUGGAAAAUGACUGGCUAUAUCUGGCCAACUAAAGACGUCACGAGAAGUCGAAAACUCUUGAAGCUUGAGAAAAUUCAGAGUAGAUUAAUGCAAGCUGCAAAAGACUCGGACAUGGACGAAGUGAGAGAGCUACUUAAGGAGAUUGAGUUAAGCAGCCAAGAGAGCCAGAACAAAGGCCAAAGCAAGUCUAUGUGGUUGUUUGCUUGUGUGACGAUAUUCUCAGCGCUUACAAUCGUCCUUCUAGCCUUCACUUUGACGAGCGAUGGGUGAUCUUCUAACAAUUCUUCCCACGAGUUUGAACAUUCGAAAUUGUAUGCGCAUGUAAUUUGAACAUUGACAGUAGAAAUUGUCUGAAAUUCAGUUGAGAUAGUUUAGUGGAUGCAGCAUCAUAGUUGAAAUCUCUGUGACCAUGUCUGUGGUGCUUGGAUUUGCAAGUACUCAAAACAUAAUUGAAAGAGUGAAAAUUUUCUGUAAACAAUAUCUGGGAAGAAGUUUUUGGAGGUAAGGAAUGGAUUUUUAAAGUAUUGUUUAUUUGCAUACAUUGAUACUUCCAUGUAUCAUACCAGCAGUAAUGUAGGAGGUAUUUUUCUAUAACUUUUUUUUCUAAAGAAUCUUUAGAAUUAUCACUGCUUUCUAUUGCCACUGACAAUCAAACUAAGCUUUCUCAAGAGAUGUAAGAUUUUGGAGGUUUUAGGAUCAGUGAACGACUUCUAUUUUAAGGUAAAUUACACUUUAAUCUUUAAAUUUUAACUUAAAUUUUAACGUAAUUAACGGAUUAAUUUAUGUGUUUUUAAAUUUAAACACUUAAAUCCCUUUAUAAUCAAUUUAAAUUUUAUCAAAUUCAUCUAAAUUUGAAAUUCUUCUAUUCAUAAUUUUAUUAUUCAACUGGUCAAAAAGUAAAUAAAUACUUCAAAUACCUAAAAUACUUUUAUCACUUAAAUCCUUAUCAAUGUAAAUCCUUAUCAAUGUAAGUGAAACAUUUUAUAUUGAGCGAAUUACAUUUUAGUAUCUGAAUUUUAGUAUAAUUAACGGAUUAAUUUCUAUAUUUUAAAAAUUAAAUCUUAAAUCUUUUUAUAUUCAGUUCGUUUAAAAUUAUAAUUUUUCAUCAAUUAUAAAUAUUAGUUUAAAGCUUAUAGAUGGUCAAACACAUAAAAGUACAAUUUAUUUCUGAAACUUUUUAUAAAAGUUUUUAACCUACUUAAAAUUACUUAAUACCAC
rnacentral:lncRNA from 1 species